rnacentral:lncRNA from 1 species
CAUCUGUCUGGUGACUACUUUUUCAUAUCAAUUUUUCUUAGCACUGUACUUUUUUUCAGUGACUAUUUUCUCAUAUCUGAUUUGCGUAGCAUCGUGCAUCGUUCCGGACUACUGUCUUAUAUCUGAGUUGCAUAGCAUCAUGCAUCUUUCUGGUGACUCCUCAGAUUUAAUUUACAUAGUUCCGUACGUCUUUUCGGUGACUCCUCAGAUUUUUUUCAGUAGGGUCGUGCCAUCAUUCUGACCCUGCCCAUAUAAUUUCUCUUUUCCAGUAGGAUCGUGCCGUCAUUCCGACCCUACUCAUAUAAUUUCUAUUUCUCAAUAGGGUCGUGCCAUCAUUCCGACCCUACGCAUAUUUCUUUUUUUCAGUAGGGUCGUGUCAUUAUUCCGACUCUACCAAUAUACUUUUUUUUUCCUCAGAUUGUAGUCACUUUUCAACCAUCAAAUCUAAUAAUCCGGCGUGUGAGCAUGUUUCAGCUAAGUUUCCGGUGACUUCCAUGUUCAAGAUCGACUCGUCUCUUGAUUUCGAGAUGACCCGUAUAUUUUAUAUCAGUUUUCGGCAAUUUUCCAGCGACACAUCGACUUUACGGCAAUAUUUACUAUUCGGAUCAUUUUUUCAGUUUGUUCUGUUUCAAUUGAGGUCUUCCAGACGUCCAAAGCAGUCAUUAUCAGUUUUCUUGCAGAUAUCUUCACCAAGUCCCUCACCGAUUCUCAUAUUAGUUACAUCCAUAACAAGCUUGGUACAUAUGUCUUCUAUGCACCAGUUUGAGGGGGAGUGUUAGAAUAUGAGUAGGAAUAUGAAUAACAUAUAAAAUCCUACUUGGAAAAAGAUUGUAAUGUAGUGUCCUAUUAGGAAAAGGAUUGGAAUCUAUUGUCUAUAAAUUGGGCCUCAAUGUAAUAAUGUAGUUAUAACAAUUCAAUAAUAUUCUUCUCAUAUUUCUCACACUUCACUAGGAAACCAGUUACUGACUUCCUUGAAUGUGCACAGGCUGCCCAAUCAGCAUCAUAGUAUGCUGUGAUUGUAGUUUGUGGUUUGCUGGACAGUAGUACUCCAAGUCUUGGUUGCAUUUUUAGAUACCUCACUAUUCUUUUAGCUGCUUCCAUGUGAGAUCUUUUAGGUUGUUGCCGAUAUUGACUCAGAGUUUGUACAGAAUAAGCUAUGUUUGGUCUUGUAACUAUCAGAUAUAGUAGUUUCCCAAUAAGUUUCUGAUAGGACCCUUGAUCAUCAAGUAGUUCAUCACCUGUAGAGUUGUCUGAGAUGUGAUCAUCAUAACAUCAUACUCUUUGGUGGUAAGUUUUAGAUUGCAAUCCAUAGGGGUAGUAGCUGGUUUAGAGGCUGACAAACCAAGCUCAGAGAUAACUCCAUUGUAUACUUUCUUUGGUGCAUGAGGAUGCCUUGACUUGAUCUAGCAAACUCUAUACCUAAGAAAUAUUUCAGUUCCCCCAAGUCUUUCAUCUUGAAAGAUAGUUGUAGUGCUCUCUUUGCUUCUUCUAUCAGCUCCAUAUUGUCUCCAGUUAUCAACAUGUCAUCAACAUAGAUGAGUAUUAUAAUAGUUCCUUUUCCAGUCUUCCUGAUGAACAAUCAGUGAUCAAACUUGCUUUGAUUGAAAAGUUUUAUCAGUGCUUCUGUUAGCUUGGCAUUCCACUGUCUUGGAGCCUGCUUUAAGACCAUAUAAUGAUUUGAUGAGUCUGCAUAUCUUAUUCUCCCCGACUCACAAAUCCCUGAGGUAGUGUCAUGUAAAUCUCAUCUCAUCUGUAGGGUCACCUUGUAGGAAAGCAUUGUAUACAUUCAGCUGAUGUAUAUGCCAAUGCUUUGAUGCAGCCAUGGAUAGAAUGGACCUUACUGUCACCAUUUUUACCACAGGAGAAAAGGUUUCCUGAUAGUCUAUUCCCCCCUUUUGGCAAUAUCCUUUAGCCACCUGGCUUUUAGUCUUUCAAUCUCACCAUUUGCCUUGUACUUGACUUUAUAAACCCACCUGCAUCUAGUUGGCUUCUUUCCGGGAGGCAAGCUAACUAUAUCCCAUGUCUUGUUCUCUUCUAGAGCCUGAAUUUCACUUUACAUGGCUUCAAUCCACUUAGGAUCCUUCGAUGCUUCAAUGUAGGAUGCAGGUUCUGUAACUGAAGAAAGAUAAGCAAUGUAAGCACCAUAUUUAGCUGAGAUGUUGUCAUAAGAAAUGUAAUUAGAGAUAGGAAAAGGAGUGUCCUGAUGUUGACUCAGAGCUAUGAAAUCUUUGAGCCAAAUUGGUGGUUGACUUCCUCUAGUUGAUCUUCUGGUAGGUUGUGUUAUAUGAACUCUACUGGCCCUUGUUCCACUUUGUUGAGGUUGUGCUGUGGUUGUAUUAGGAGGUGGAGCUAGUGACACUACUGAAGAAGUUGGUGUUGGAGGUGAGUUAGAAGCAUUAGGUACUUGGUUGAUAGGUACACCAGUAAGAUCAUCCUCUAUGUGGUGUAUAGCUGAUAGAGUAUCUUCAAACACUGGACUAUCCACAUGUUUCUUUGUAAAUGGGAAUUCAUUUUCUCUAAUAAGACAUCCCUGGUCACAAAGAAACAAUGGUCAGUAAGAUCAUAUAGUAUAUAUCCUUUCUGUACUUCAGAAUAACCCAUGAGUUAAUUCUUUGGACCUAGACAACAUCUUACCAAGUUCUUAGCAAAGCACAUGCACCCAAACACCCUUAAAUGAUUUAAGUAUGGUUGUUUGUUGUAGAGCUUCUGAUAUGGACUAGUUCCAUUUAGCACACUAGAAGGAAGACUAUUGACUAAAUAUGCAACAGUUUGUACACAAUGACCCCAAAAUUUGAGAGGUACUUGAGCUUGUAACCUUAUCACUCUUGUUACCUCUUAAAGGUGUCUGUUUUCUCUCAGCUACCCCAUUUUGUUGAGGUGUGUAUGGGCAAAACCUCUGAUGUAUAAUGCCCAUUUUGUUAAACAGAUUAGUGCAAGUGUCAUUGAUGAACUCAGUUCCAUUAUCAGACCUGAUGGUCUUGAUAGUUUUGUUGAACUGAGUUUUUACAUAUUGCAAGAAAAUAGGAAGAACAACACAUACAUCAGAUUUCAAUUUUAACGGGUAUAACCAAGUCAUUCUAGUAAAGUCAUCAACUAUUGUCAAAAAAUAUUUGUUUCCAUCAAAAGUCUGCACUUUAUAGGGACCCCAUACAUCCAUAUGAACCAACUCAAAACUAUUAGAAGUACUUAUAGAGCUGGUAAUGAAAGGUAAUAUACAUUGCCUGCCACAAGGACGCACAUUACAUUCUUUAAGGGUAUCUACUAUAUCCUGGUGUGUAGUAGGUAGAAUUUUCUUUAAGGUAGGACUAGACACAUGGCCUAAUCUUUUAUGCCAGUGUCUUAUAUCAGUGUCACUAUUAAAAGAGACAUCCAACUGAGUGCUGAGGUUAGCACUUGCAGCAUCCUUAGAAGUUUGAUUCAACAGUAGAUAGAGUCCUUCACAUUCUCUACCAAUCCCCUUCACCUUGCCAUUGGAAAGAUCCUGAAACACACAAAAGUUAAGAUAAAAUGAAACGACACAAUUUAAAUCUUUAGUGACCUUGGAUACUGACAUCAGAUUAUACUUGAACUGAGGUAAAACAAAGACAUUAUUCAAUGUGUUAUCUGUUGAUAUAGUGCUGGAACCAGUGUGUGUUACUUGUGCUAUUUCACCAUUAGGUAAUUGCACCUGUUUAGGGUGUGAUAUUUGGACUAUAGAUGCCUUGUUAAGCAUAUCCAAACUGGACACUAUGUGAUUGGUGGCUCCUGUAUCAGUGAUCCAAUCCCUAAGUAUCUUAGCCACAAGUAAAGCUUUACUUAGACCCAUACCUGAUUCAACACUACCUGCAAAUGUAGCAGAGGAUCCUGGAGUAGUCAAUACACUGCAAGCAGCUGACUGUCCAGUUCUAUAGCCAUUAGUCAUUACAGUAGUCACACAUCAGAUUUGUAUUUUUCUUGAACUUUUGGUGAUUGACUUUAGAGUACAUUACUGAUGCAUCAUGAGUGUUUGAAUUAGAGGGCAUGGCACCUAAUAAACUAGCAGCCCUAGAACCAACAGACUUUUGAGAUUCAUCACUCAUGAUCAUAUAAGCCUGUGUAACUGAAGGCAAUGGGGUCAUAAGAAGAAUCUGACUCCUAGCCUGCAGAUAGUUGUCAUUUAAUCCCAUUAAAAACUUAUGCAAUUUCUGCCUUUGUAAAUACACAAGAAAAUGCUUGGACUUAGCACAGUUGCAACCAGGUGGAGGAACAAUUGCUUCCAAUUCCACCCAUAGCUCUUUCAAUUUAGUAAAGUAUGCAGCAACAGAUGAUGUCCUUGAACUAAAGUUGCAAUUUCCUUGUGAAGGUUGAAGGUUCUUGAACCAUCAACCUUAUCAAAUCUUGACUUCAGAUCCUCCCACACUUCUUGUGCAGUAUCAGCAUAGAUCAUGCCUCCAAGUAAACUGCUAGACACUGUAUUCAUUAACCAAGAUUGUACCACUGCAUUACACCUUUCCCAUUGAUACCACAGUUCCUCUCCAAAUGAUCCCUUUUUCCAAGUUCCAUCAACAAAUCCCAAUUUGUUUCUUCCCAAGAGUGCAAUUCUCAUAUACUUGCUUCACAAAUUAUAGUUUUCAACCCCAGUCAACUGUAGAGAAAUGAGAGAAAUGCCACUUACAUCAGUGUCGUGCAAAUAAAGAGGAUCACUUGUGUGCCACUUGUUGAACUUGGAUCUCCAUGAACUGCAGCAUUCACAGGGUCAGCACUUCCAUCGGACGCCAUUGUCGUAAUGCAGGAGAAAUCAACAGCUAAAUUCAGUUCUCAGAACUUUAACGAGAUGAAAGAAACAGAGUAGUUCUUGAUGAUUUAAUCACUCAAGCUGAUUGUUGCGGAAUUUUUGGCUAGUAGAUUGCUGUGCUCUGAUACCAUGUAGCAAUCUAGCAUUCAACUCAUACAAUGCCCAACUACUCACUGCAAGAGUAUUCAAGGUACUCUGAUCAUGCAGAGUAAUUUACAGAAUAGAAUGACUAUGUGAUGAGAAACUGAGGAGGAGAAAGAAAAGAUGAACGUAGUUAAGAGAGUAGUUAUUAUUGUAUUGAUCAAGUGAGUACAUACAUGUAUAUAUAGUGUGAUAGUAGUCGGUUAGCAUGAGGGUUAGAGGUAGUUGGUUAGUUAACUGAUGUAACUGUUAUAACUUAGGUCCUAAUUAACCAACUUUGUGAAGAGUGAUCUACAUCAACUAGUGUGAGUUAGUUAUGUGAAUGCUGUGCACUCUCUUUCUUCUUCUCAAUACUUUUCCUUUUAAUACUUACAGAUCUAAGAUAAGUCAUUAUCUUACCAUGUUAUAUGAUACCUCUUUAUUUAUUUUUGACAAGCUUGAUUGCUGGUUCUCCUAUUGGUUGAUAUUGACUAGGAAACAAUUGCUAACCUGAUACCUAGUUUGUCUAGCAUAUGUGGCAAAAAAUUUCUAUAGAAAGACUAUACCUUUCCAAAUUGGAUGUUAAUAUUAUCAUUCUGUGAUUGCUAGCUGGUUCAGAUAUUUUAAAUAGAUACCACAAAACGAAUUUAUUGUCAAAUUUGAGGGAUGAGUUGGAGUUUUGAGUCAGGGGAUUUGCAGGAAUCUUAUCUAAACAGCUUGUGACAUCUGUGCCAAAUAGACACUACUGCUACUAUUAGGGAUGUUUUGCUCUAUAUGUUCAAGUACUACACCACAUAACCUUUCUCCUAGAGGUUUCCAUGCAUUUGUGAAGGAUUUUUCUUCCAACUUCUAGGUUGUGCUCUUACACUCUCCCCUCCCGACCCUCAGUCCUGCAACUGCUAUUAGUUGUAAACCAAUUUAAAAAGGGGAAUCUACUAAAAAAGAAGAGAAAGUAAAACAGAAAGCAUCUUUACAACCUCCUCCUCUUCAUUCUCAUCUUUUCUAUCAGGAACAUAUUUUGCUGCAAUAUUUCUGUCUGGCAUUAUAAUCUGUUAAAAAAGAAAGAACACUGAACAAACUUCUUUUCCAUAAGGGUGAGAAUGUGAAGGUGCUUAAAAGGAAAAGCCUCGGCAAAAGAAUAGAGUUUGGUAUGAAGGAGUCAGAAGUGUGAUAGGCGAGCAAUAUGGUAUAGAAAAAGGGGAUACUGAACAAGUCGCAUAGCCUAGUGAAAGGCCACCAUGAGGCUACAUAAUGAUAUAGAAAAGGAGAUGAUUUGAGUGGUUGUUGAUGGCAGAAGAAUUUCUUUGGGAUAAACAUUGGUGUAUAGUGGAUGUGUUGAAUCAGACUUCAGUAGAUGUAUGCUCUUCUUCUUCUUUUUCUUUUUAAAAUAAAAAUUUAAUGGUGGCAGAAUUUAUUAACAGAGGGAGGAAAUAUGGUUUUGGAAACAUCCUUUAACAUACAUUUUUAGGGCCCAUUUGGACAUGAAUUUUUCCUUAUUUUCAAAACAAGAUUUGGGUACACAUCAGGAUGAUUUUUUGGUUGUUUUUACCUUUUUCCAUUGAAUUGUUUUCCAUUUACAUAACUUCAAUCUUUUCUCAAGUAAAAUGCAUGUCCAAACACAAUUUAACUUUCUAACAUUGCUUUUGAACUUGAACUUCAAAUAUUACUCAAUUCAUGUCUCACUUUUAUUUUUGUUUGGACAAUCAUGGGCGUCAUUCUUGCUGCUGAUAUUUUUGGAAGAGAGAAUGAGAGCCUUGGAGUAACUGGUAAAGUUGUUGCCAUGUGACUAGGAGGUCACGGGUUCAAGCCGUGAAAAAAGCCUCUUGUAGUAAUGCAGGGUAAAUCUACGUACAAUAGAUCCUUGUGGUCCGGUCCUUCCCCGGGACUCCCUGCAUAGCGGGAGCUUUAAUACCCUGGGCUUCCCUGUUGAAGAUGAUCCUUGUGAUCUGGUGCUUUACAUGUUAUGGACUUCAAAGGAGACUCAUCCUUGUCUUUUGCCCUUGAAUAUUGCAAUGAAUUUGUGGUUGGAGAUGCUUAACAUUUUCAGCACAUGUUGGGUCAUGCCAAUAGGGUAAAGCAACUGAUAAGCAUUUGGAAUGUUGGGGGAUUCAAGUGGAGCAGAUUUUAACAGAAUUGAAAGCAUGGAGGCUAAUCCCGCAUGCUACAAAAUGGACUGAACUUGUCUGUUUUUUUUUUUUUUUUAUAAUUGGCCCUUUUAUAGAUAAUUAGGUUCACUUUUUGGAAGGAAAUAUCUUGUGCAGUCCUGCCAUAUGUAGCCUUCCUGUAGGGGAUUAUUUCUUCUUCCAGUGAUGAAAGUUUUGAUGCUAAUCAACUUCAUUUUCCUAAUUAUUUGUGUACCCACUUGCAGUUCGUUAAUUUUACAAAAAUCAUGUCCGAGCAUUCAGAGAUGGGCAAGAAGGAAACAACCUUUGCUCUUGCCGCACUAAUGGAAAUUCCAUUUCAGUACCGAGCCACACAACGCCUUCAAUUCAGAGAGUAAGUAGCAUCUAUCUUUGUGUAUAUUCUUCUUUCAAAAUUGAAAGCAUCUACAUGAAGCCUAACCUUUUCGAAACUUGUUAUUUAGAAGCAAAAGAGGUCCUCGGACUAGGCCAUUUCGUCCUCCUCAAGAAGUAAUUGAUCAUGAUAGUGCUGUCAAAUCAUUGCCACAUCUGACAAGCCAUGAACCUGUUGACUCUGGAGCUGCAGAACAAGUGUGUGUUUAUGUUAUAUAGUUCUUGCUCUUCUUGUACAACUCAUUAUUCUUAAGAGUCUACUUCUUUCGUUCUGUUUUUUUUUUCUAAUAAUGGUUUCCCUUUUUCUUUAGGUUUGUCCCAUUUGCUUGACAAACCCAAAGGACAUGGCUUUUGGAUGUGGUCAUCUGGUAAGUGAUUCUAGAAGUGACACUUAACUACUGUCAGUGUUGAAUUCAGUCUUUAAAAUCUAUCCAAGGCGUAAUAUUUUCAUGUUUAUAUGUGAUGUUUGAUCUCUAUAGUUUCAGCUUGUUGUCUAUUAUAUAAUUUUAGAAUGUCUAAAUGGCUAUUUUUCUAGAACUGCAUUAACGUUAUGCUGCUUAGAUCAAUUCAUUUUCCAUAAAGAAUGAUGCAAUAAGGAUCUCAUCGUUGAAGGUAAGUCAAAAUGGUGGAAGUUAGUGUCCAACGAUAACCUGUUUAGUUUGCAAUUCAUUUUGCUCUUCCCUAUCCAGUCCUUUAUUAGAAUAGUUAGCGUCAUUAAAUAUUGAGGAUAUCAAAAAAUUAUAUUGACGAUAUCAUUUUCUGGAAUUCCGUACUAGCAUAUUAUUCAAAAGGAAAACUAGCUUGACUUUUGGCAUUUUGACAUCUUACAUGGUGAAUACCAUUUACCUUCAUUUCCCACUUAAUCAUACAUAUCGUUCCACAAUAACACACGAUGCUGCUGAAAUGAACUCUUUAUGCACUGUUAGUUCAUCUGACAGUAGAGAUACUUUGUUUGAAAUUAAGAUCUCUAUUUACAUUCACUGCACCAAUGGGGUGGUUUUCAUAACUAAAGUUAUCCUAAUGACCUUAUUCACUCCAAAGCAUUCUUUAGAGGUUUGGACAAUAAAAACACAUCUAACCUGGUGACUUGGGAGAUUUGAUGUGUCCCCUAUUUGGAUGAUCAUAAUUUUUAGCAUCUUUUUGAAGUCACUUGGUAUUGGUAAGGCUACUUCAUCAUGACCGAUCAUAGGUCCCAUGUUUACUGCUUUCAUUUCUGCUAGUACUCAUUCUGCCACUGAUUCUCAUGUUCUGGAUGCAGAUAGCACCUUAUCUAAUUUUAGCUAUUAGCAUUUGAAUUUUAGAUUACCUACAGCUGUUAUUUUAGAUCGGGGAAUGGCUAUUGAAAAUCUUUCCUCGUAUUUUCUGAAUCAGACAUGCAAGGAGUGUGGUGUCACGAUAACCUCAUGCCCUUUAUGCCGAGAGCCCAUUAAAACUCGCAUAAGACUGUAUGGCUAGAUGUCAGAACCAUCUCCUGAACUACCUAAGCUCUACACUUUCUCCAGGAUGUCAACUAAGGAUAUUCAUUUCCGAGGUGUAAACUUCCCUGUUCCUUGAAGAAGAGCCACUCAGGUGGUUGUCAUAUGAUAACUGAUGUGAUAUAUAAAAACUGUAAAUGAGCAGUAACCUAUGUAUAGCUUACAUGGAGUUCUUCACCUGUCCUGUUUUUUGUUUAUGAUGGAGUUCUUGUUGAUACUUCAUACCCGUCAUCGAUUCUAUUACCUCUUUGUUUUGAUGAAACUUAAUUAUCUAGGUUAGUGAAAAUCGCCAACCAUCUUUCGGCAACAAUAAAUCCAUGAGCAGACGAAGUCACUAGCUUAUCACCGUCUCUGACUUUAAUCGGCUUGCCUGCAUAACGUCUUUUUUAGUGCAGUUAUUGGCUGCUAAGUGACUUUCGAAAGACGGGAGAUUUUUUUAUUAUCUAUCGAGGAAGACAGACCAAACUAUUGUUAAAAGAGCUUUGUUGUUGAAUUUGUUUUGUAGUAGACUGUUAGCCAAAAUAUUUGCUAAAAGUGCUCAUAUCUACAAGUGGAGUUAUAAUAGAAAAUUGUAAAAAUUAUUGGUUGCUUUUGGUCUUUCGAGUAAUUGAACAUUGACGAUUUCGUUUGCCUUUUCAUUUUAACAACCAAAUGAAUGAGAUAACUCUUAGGGUAUGUGAAAACUGAAUGAAUCAAGACAAACAGUUCAAAACAAAACAAUCCAGGAAAUGAAAUAACAGAGGCAAAAACAUAACAAAGCAUAAAAACAUAACAAAGCAUUUUGAAUAGUAACCAUAACAAGGUAACAGGAUAUUUGAUGUAAGAAACAACAAAAAUUGAAGGACAAAAAACUACGUGAGCAAUACUAUGAUUACUAGUAUGGACAAAUAGCGAGGCAACACAAUGCCGCCUAAUUACAUUCUACCCUAAUUUGUCUCCUCCACAACCUCUUACCUAAAUGUGGCAACUCGAAUUUUGGUGAUUUAUAUGAAAAGUGUAUUUCUGUGUGAUUUGAUCAUUUUACUCCUUUCCAUGGUUGCUUUGUGGUAUUUCUAGAGUAUGGGAAUGGCACAGAUUUAUGUUAUAUUGUGGUUUCUAUUGAUUUUGAGAGCCUUAUAGUUGACUUCGGUCAACAUUUGUAGAUGUGUGCGUCGGAUGGCAAAACAGACUGUGCUAGCAAAUCUAGAACAUCAAUUUUAAGGUGAUAACAUCUGAUAUCGCCAUUAAGUCCGGAGCGUCGAAUUUGAUAGGGUAGCAUAUUUCGUUUGCGUUCACUGGAUUUCAGAUGAUUCCCGAGGGGUCCGCGGAGACUUGAACCCUAUAUAUACCCGUGUUUCACUAUUUUUUUUUUCAUUUUUUAGAUUUGGAGCUUAGGGUUUCACACUUUUGAGAAAUUUCUUCAAUUUCUAAGUUUAGGUAUGCUUCUAAACACCUAUUUCAACUACUUUAAUCCAAUUUUAUCAUCUAAUUCUUGUUUUUAUGUGAUUAAAGUGGAAAAUUGGGGAUUUUGGCCGGAAAGGCCUGCAACUUAUAUUUCUUCGAUUCACCUUUUUUAAUCCAUUUUCACUUGGGUAAGUUUCUAGUCUUAUAAUUAUCAGUUUUCUCUCAAUUUCAUCUGCAAAACAACUUAAGAUUCUUGAUUUCAAAAAGAAUUUUUGGGAAAUUUGCCAGUAAAGCUUAAACAUGAUUUUUCUUUAAUUCAAACAUUGUUUUAAACUCAUUUUUGCUUGGGUUUUCAGCUGUAGACUCCUAAAAAUACGAAAAACAUGUUUCAAAGAUAAAAUUAUGAUUUUGCCCUUCUUUUUCGAAAAUCCGUUUCGGGGGUCCGUUUUGACCCCAACUUGAAAAUAGGCAAUAUGAGUAUCAUUGGCUUUCUUUUGACACAUAACAACAACAACAACAAACCCAGUGUAUUCCCACCUAGUGGGGUCUGGGGGGGGGGGUAAGAUGUACGCAGUCCAUACCUCUACCUUUAAAGAAGUAGAAAGGUUGUUUUCGAAUUGACACAUAAAUUCUAUAUUUUCAUGUUGUAGCUGAUUACAAGUCCAUUUGGGUGGAGUAAGGCUUCAGAAUGCAGGCUUGCGGAUCGAUUUUCAACAUUCGAGGUAAGUCAUGACUUAACUUUCUUCAAACUAGGCUAGGUAGUUAAUGUUAAUACAAAAGCAUAUUAAGAGUGUGGGGACUAAUCAUGAAAGUGAAUAAAUUAUUGUGUUGUGCUUGUGUGGGGGCCAAUAUUGAUGUACUAGGUGAAUUUGGAACAUUAUUUGCUAUGUGUUACCGUGUGAGUCUUAUAUGCUAUUGUUGGCCUGAUGUAUCUGAAAUUAGUUUUAUCUUGAUUAAUGAAAAGCCUAUUGUGGUAUCAAUGGUAUAUUUGAUGUAUUUUACACUAAUGGCAUAUGGUUUAUGUUGGACUUCUUGGAUGGUUGGGAAUAUUGAGUGAAUUUUUGGCCCACUUGGUUGGUAUAUUGGUUGGAUAUGGAAACAUUCAUUCUGGUUGAUUGUGAAUAUUACAUUCUCAUAUCAUAUACAUUCAUGAAACAUUGGUACCACUGUGGAAAUACUAGAAAUACUGGCUUUUUCUGACAAAAAAUGUGCUAUCUUAAAAGUUCUCUACCGAAGGAUGUGCUAGAGAGAAGAUGUGGAUAUGGUAUUGGAUAUGGAUUGUAUAUGGGUUGACGAACCUCCCAUGGAUCCUAUGUUGGAAAGAUUAAGCUCCGUAGGUGUAUAUAGAGGUUAUGCGACACCCUCGCACAUCACAUCAUCAUCAUCAUCAUCAUCAUCAUCAUUCAUCAUCAUUAUCAUCAUCGUCAUCAUCAUCUUCAUUGCAUCUACAUUGUGUGCUUAUGCUGUGAUUUUUCUUAACCUGUUACUUUCCCUUUGUUCUACUUGCCUUUACUUGUGUUGAUGUUCGUAUAUAUGUAUUUGUCUCUUUUCUCUACUUGAAUUUGUUAUAUGUAUGGAUAUUAAAACUAUUAGUGGAGAUGGUAUGGGCUACCGUUGUGAGAUUUUUUCUAAUUGUAGGUGAUGUCCUCUUAGUGUGUAUUUUAUAUGCUUUAUUUUCUACUUUUCUCAGUCGGCCUAUGAAGCCUAUUGAGUACAAGUGGACCGUACUCACCCCUACUGUGCUCUUUCAUUGCAAAUCCUGGUUCGAGUGCCUUCACAGUGGUUGACUUCGGGCGACACUUUUGAGCUAUUCGAGGUAGUGGUUGAAUUCUUGCUUCCAGAGUUGACUACUGCCUUUCUUUACACAAGAGUGACAAUGAGUCCAGCCAAUGACUCGUAGUGUCUGACCACGAGUCGUCAUCACUAAACACAGAAAAAAGGCAACGAAGUUGACACCGAGUCAUAUCAGUCGAGACGACUCGUUGCCUGGGGCGUGACUACUGCCGACUUUAUUUUCCUAUUUAUUUUAGUUAGGUUUUCUUUGUUAUUUUGAGAAACUACGAAUACCCAUUGGAUAUUUUUGUAAUAGUUUACGCACUUUUUACUCUUAAAAACAUAAUUGUGAUUUUGAGAUUGACUUUUGAUCUUGGAGUUCCUUUGUUCUUGGUUUUUGUGAUUAAUUGAUUUAAGAUUUUGAAUUUUAUUCUUCAUUGUUGUGAUAUUAAUUCUAUGUUUUCUUUAUUGAAUUUCAUGGAUUGUUUUGCAACUAUGAGCGGCUAAUUCUCUUAGCUAGGGGUGUGGGUACCUUGACAAAACAACGAACUAGGGGAAAUGUAAGGUUCUUUUAGAUCAUUGUUUACACUUGCAUUGUGAGCUUCUUCAGUUUAAUUGCUUUCUUAGUAGUGGAAAACGUUAAGAACCCGCCUAUAUUCGAGAUCGUCUUUACAAGAAAGAUUGAGAUUGGGCAAAGAGGAUUAAAAUAGUGAUUCAAGGCUAUUAACCCUCUUCUAAUAACUUGAUACCCAAAAGGUGAUAGUUAAACUGGGAUCAAAGACAAAGGUGAGCACGAGAAACCUACGAAGUUAGGAAGCCGGGGGGACACAGUCCUAGUGUUCAUCUCAGAUUGUUCCCAACCAAAAGCAUUUGCAACUUGUUACUUUUUAUUGUUUACUACAAAUUCCCCCCAUUUAUUUUCCUGCACUUUUGGCCACUUCAGCAAGUUCAAGAGAUAGAUUCGACCAAUUCCCUAUGGGAUCGACCCCAACUUAGUUACAUUACUAUAAUUUGACAAUGAUCGCAUUGUAUCUUCUUGAAGGGUAUAGUUUCAAUGACAUCAAAUUUUGGCGCUGUUGUCGGGGAAUACCAUUGUGGAUUUAUUGAUUAAAAUGUUUUUAAGGUUUUCGGCUUUUACUUUUCUAUUCUUCUUGGGGCAUACACUGGUGUAUUCCCAGUACUAGGAGUCAAGGAAAUUCCUUGAUCCCAUUUUAUCCAGAGCUAGAAUAAAUCCUACAAUAGAAUCAUAGGAUGUCACAACACAGUCGAGACACUCGUUAUGAGCUACCUCAAGAUGAUCCAUAGGACUUUUCCCCCACUUCCUCAGAAGACAGUUGAGCAAACCAUAGAGAGGUUACUAGCAGAGGCUAAUGCAAGGAGAUAUAAUGAGGCUACCUAACAUACAACUUAAAUGAUAGAGAGAGCAAGAUAGACACCGAUAGCUGAUCAUCGAGAAGAACUUGAUAGGGGUAGAAAAGACAGAGCUCUAGUACCCUCAACUUUUCAGUACUUGCUAGCAUGAAGAUCCAGAUGAAGACUUGGGGUAUGAAGAGUCUAUUGAGUUAGGAGCUAUCAUUUCUCUUACAUUACCCCUGGGGGUGAAGUUUAACAUUACUAGUGCUAUGAUCUAGUCGUUGAAUUUGAAAGAUGUGUUUGCUGGCUUGCCGACUAAUAAGCAAACAUGCACCUAAUAAAUUUUAUUGGGAUUUGCACUUCAUACACUAUACCUGGGAUGGAUCAGAAAGCUCUCAGACUCAGGUUGUUCCCAUUCUCUCUAACUGGUGAUGUGAUAUUGUGGUUAGGGGAACUACCUCAUGGGUCCAUUACUACUUGGAACGAGUUACAAAAGCAGUUUUUAGAUCGCUUCUUCCCUCCCGCUAGAAUUCUAUAGUUGAAGGACGAGAUCUAUAAUUUUAGGAAAUUUCAUUUUGAAUUAAUUAUGAGUCAUGGUUUCGAUUUAAGAAGAAGUUGAUGAUGGUGCCCAAUCACAGAAUUUCAGGAAGAAAUUUGCUGGAUAUUUUCUAUUGUGCAUGAAUACUAAUUCCAUAGCUAUAGCAGAUACUAUUACUAGUGAAGCAUUUAUGAACCUGUUUGGGAGGUGGCAUAAAAAAUCUUAGAUUAAAUCUUGCUCACCAAUCGAGGGUAGCAUACUUGGGAAAUAGAGAAAGGUGUCGAUAUUUAUGCUAUUGGUGCUUCCAAUGAGCCUAGAAUGGUAGAUGAGUCAGUGGCUCAAGAUUCGCACAACUGAGAAUGAAGUUUGGGUUACUAUCAAAGCAGCUUGGAUGAAUGAGUUUCGAGAAGGUGAAUGUCGUGGGCGCACAAGGAAAAGUUUCUAGGUCAUAUGAUUUUAACGUAGAUGUAGACGCGACGUAUCUAGAUAGAGAGUUGCCAGGUUUUCGAGCCAGAGAGUUGCCAGGUUUUCGAGCCAAGUUCCAAUCAUUUUCUUAAGCUAAUUAGAACCCAAGUCAAGGGAAUCAAGGUCGAAACUACUGUACAGAUAAAUAUAGGAAUCAAAGUAUAGAGAGAGAUGAUGACGAGGGACAUAAGGAUAAUUAUAAAGAGAAGAGUGGUGUGUAUGUUCUACUAGGGAACUGUGAUAAUGAGUCAAGGAUUGAAGCUAUGUUUUCAAAGCUGGUAAAGGGUCAACAAAGUCAAAAAAGUUACCUUAAGUAGAUUAAGACAGAUAUUUCAGGUUUGACCCAAAAAAUGGAAUCACAUGCUACUGCGAUCAAGCAACUUGAAAAGCAAUUUAGUCAGAUGUCAUCAACCUUGAAUCAAUAUCAUCCUGACAUUCUUCCAAGUAAUACUGUACAGAAUCUGAAGAAUGAUAGUCACUUUUUGGUCAUCACCACUCAAAGUGGUAAGGCCACUAUUGAUCCUCCUAUGCCUAUAGUUGAUGAAGCAAGGAAUGUUGUUGUUGAUGUAGAUGAGGAACCUAAACUGGAAUCUGAAAGGUUGGUGACUAGUGGGGAGUCAUCACAAAAAUCAACAUGUAUUGAUAAAAGUGUUGAGGAGAAUAAAGAAAAAGGGGAAGGUAGUUGAGCCUAUAUUGAAGACCAUUCCAUGACCUCCCCCACCUUUUCCUCAGAGAUUGAAGAAACAACAGGAAGGAAAGUAUCAGAAGUUCUUAUCGAUGUUGAAAGAAUUAUCUGUUAAUAUUUCUCUUGUAGAAGCAUUGGAGAAGAUGCCUAGAUACACUAAGUUCAUGAAGGAUUUGGUUACUGGAAAGCGGAUGGUAAGUUUUGAGCCCUCUGUUAAUGUUCAUCAUUGCAUUGUUGUUACUUCUCGAUCAUUGGUUGAGAAGAAGGAAGACCCCAUAGCAUUUACUAUUCUAUGUUUUAAUUUCUCUUGAGCUGUAUGUGAUUUAGGAGCUAGUAUCAAUCUAAUGUCAUUGGUGGUAUACAAAUAGUUGGGGUUGGGGUCACCCAAACCUACUUCUAUGAGGUUAUUGAUGGCUGUCUGGACUGUAAAGAAACUGGUUAAUAUUUUGUGUGAUAUUUUGGUGAGGGUGGUAUCCUUCAUAUUCCCAGCUAAUUUCAUGAUCCUUGAUUGUAAGACGGACUUCGAAGUCCCUAUUAUCUUAGGCAGGCCUUUCCUAGUUACAGGUAAGGCCUUGGCUAACAUAGAGGUGAGACAGAUGUAGUUCAGACUCAAAGACGAGUAAGUUACUUUUAAUAUGUGUCAAUCUAUGCGAUAACCAAAGGAUAUGCGAGUAGUGUUAGUUAUUGAUACUAUUGAUGAUGAUGCGGUGACUGUGCCCACUAAAGAGAGACUUGGGGUUGAGGCGUUAGCGGUAGUUAUCAUGAACUUUGAAAGCGAUGACAGAGAUGAGUAUGAUGAGGUGGUGAGCGCAUUGUAUGGUAGAGGUUCUUAUAAUUAUACUCUAAAAAAGCUGGAUCUUGAUCUAAAAAAUAGAACCAAUCCUCCAAUUCGACCAUUUAUUGAUGAGCCACCCAUCUUGAAAUUAAAGGCACUCCCAUCUCACUUGUGGUAUGCAUUUUUGGGGGCCGACAAUACCUUGCCAAUCAUUAUUUCUGCUGACUUAUUAGAGACAUAGGUUGAAGCAAUGAUCUCAGUGUUUCAGAGGUUCAAGAGGGUCAUUGUAUGGACUAUUAUAGACAUUGUGAGGAUUCCACCUGGUAUUUAUACUCGUAAGAUACAGCUUGAACGGGAGUGUAUACCUAGUAUUGAUUACCAAUAUAGGUUGAAUCCUCUUAAGUAGGAGGUAGUGAAGAACGAAAUCAUCAAGUGGUUAGAUGUUGGAGUGGUUUACCCCAUUGCAGAAAGUAAGUGGGUUAGCCUGGUUCAAUAUGUACCAAAGAAGGGGGAUCACAGUGGUCCCUAAUGAGAAGAAUGAAUUGGUACCCAUGAGAUCGGUCACUGGAUGGAGAGUGUGCAUGGAUUAUAGGAAGCUAAAUACUUGGACUCAGAAGGACCACUUUCCUAUUCUUUUUGCAUUCAAGAGCAUGCCAUUCGGACUAUGCAAUGAUCCCAUCACUUUUCAUAGAUAUAUGAUGUCGAUAUUUUCUGGCAUGGGGGAAUACACUAUAUAAGUAUUCAUGGAUGACUUUUUAUUAGUUGGGGACUCCUUUGAUGAUUGCUUGGUCCAUUUGUCCAACACACUCUAAAGAUGUGAGAAGUGCAAUCUGGUGCUAAAUUUGGAGUAGUGCCAUUUUACUGUGAAGGAAGGUAUUUUUCUCAAUCGUAAAAUCUCAAAAUGGGGUAUUGAGGUGCAUAAACUGAAGAUUGAGGUGAUUAAGAAAUUACCUCAUCCGAUCUCAGUUAAAGGCAUCCGAAGCUUUUUGGGUCAUGCUGGCUUCUAUAGGAGGUUCAUUAUGGAUUUCUCUAAAACUUUUAAUCCUCUGUGCAAGCUUUUAGAGAAGGAGGUGAAAUUUGUAUUUGAUGAUGCAUGUCUCAAGGCCUUUGAGUGACUUAAGGAGCAGUUGAUCUUGACUCCUAUUAUUGUGUCCCCUAAUUAGUCUUUAUCGUUUGAGGUUAUAUAUGAUGCUAGCGAAGUGGCCUUGGGUGCUGUCCUAGGCCAAGGACGCGAGAAAAUCCUCCACCCAAUCUGUUAUGCCAGCAAGUCAUUAAACCCUAUACAAAAAAAUUAUACAAUCAUAGAGCAGGAGUUCCUUAGAGUGGUUUUUGCCUUUGAGAAGUUUCAGUCCUAUUUGAUAGGGACCAAAGCCAUAGUUCACACAGAUCAUGAAACUUUGAGGUAUCUAAUGUCAAAGAAAGAUUCCAGACCGAGGUUGAUAUGUUGGGUCCUCUUACUACAAGAAUUUGACUUUGAGGUAAAAGAUCGUAAAGACACUGAGAACCAGGUUACUGAUCACUUAUCUCGUCUUGAGGAGGAGGCAAUGCAAAAGUUAGGGGAUGAGAUUGACAUAGAUGAUACUUUUUCAGAUAAGCGGGUCUUGGCAACAUCUCAAGACUUAAUCCCCUGGUUCACUGGUUUUGCCAACUUUUUGGCAAGUGAUCUUGUUUUGGAAGAUUUGUCAUUCCAACAGAGAAAGUGGUUCAUGCAUGAGGUGAGAACAUUUUUCUAGGAUGAGCCUUAUCUUUCUUAGAUUUAUGUGGAUGGUGUUAUUCAUAGAUGUAUUCCUGAGAUGGAGAUGAUGAGAAUCCUUGAGGCUUGUCACUCAUUACCAGUUGGGGUUCAUCACGGUGGUACCCAUAUAGCCUACAAAAUUAUGUAGUGUGUGUAUUAUUGGCCAACUAUCUAGAAGGAUGAUCAUGACUAUGCUCAAUGUAUUGACCAAUGUCAGCAACAAAGAAACAUCUCAUGGAAACAUGAACUCCCCAUGAUACCUAUCUUGGAGUUAGAAUUGUUUGAUGUAUGGGCAAUUGAUUUCAUAGGCUUGUUUGUGAGCUCCUAUGGUAUGAAGUACAUUCUAGUGGCAGUCAACUAUGUUUUAAAGUGGAUGAAGGUGAUUACGCUUCCUAAAAAUGAGGCUCGAAGUAUUACUAUAUUCAUGAAAAAAACAUAUUUUCUUAAUUUAGCACUCCAUGUGCUAUUAUCAAUAAUGGUGGGUCUCACUUCUGCAAUCGUCUCUUAAUGUCUUACUCAAAAAAUAUGGUGAGAAACAUAAGGUAGAAACUCCUUACCAUCCUCAGAUGAGUGGGCAAGUUGAGGUCUCCAAUAUAGAGAUCAAGUCCAUAUUGACAAAGACUAUCAAUUUUAAUCGGACUGACUAGUCAAGAAAGUUAGAUGAUUCUUUGUGGGCCUAUAGGAUAGCUUUUAAGACCCCCAUAGGCGCCUCACCAUAUCAACUUGUGUACGGCAAGGCAUGCCACUUGUCAGUCAAACUUGACCAUAAGGCACUAUGGGCAUUGAAAAGGCUCAAAUUUGAGUGGCAUGAUGUAGCUAAGCUGAGGUUGGGCAAGGUGAAUGAGUUGAAUGAAUUCUGCCUCCAUGCUUAUGAAAGUUCUGCUCUAUACAAAGAAAAGAUGAAGCUGUAUCAUGACAAAAAAAUUGAGAGAAAAAUGUUUGAGCCCAGUGAUUUGGUCUUGUUGUAUAAUUCAAGAAUUCAUUUGUUCCUAGGAAAUUAAAGUCUAGGUGGUAUGGAUCAUUCACCAUGGUUCGGGUGUUCCCGUAUGGAGAUAUAGAGCUAAAACGUGAUAGUGAAGCCCCAUUCAAGGUGAAUGGGCAGCGGGUGAAGCACUAUAUGGGAAACCUUGACAAGUUAAAAUUAUAUGUUGACAUGAGCCUUGGCAAAGUCUGAGUAACCAAGAAAACUACGUUGUUCUGCGACAUUAAAUCAGGCGCUGCAUUGGAGGGUACCCAUGUGCUAGUUGGUAAAGUUUGAGUACCAAACCUAGCCACAUCGUGCCGCAACAUUAAAUCAAGAUUUACGUGGGAUGCAACCCAUGUUUUAUACUUAUUACAUUAUAGGGUAACUUGUGUGUUCAGUAUACAGGGCUAGAGAUUGCAAAAAAAACCAAAAAAAUUUCUGGUGUGAGGUCCCUAUGAGGGACCCUACGAAUCGUAGGGUCACCAUACAACUCAUCACCAGAUUCGUGGUUAGCUUGAUCCCAAACCACCUUUAGGUAAAGGUUCUUUGGAGCCAUGAUGAAUCUUAUAAUGAAUCUGAUGUUAGGUGUAUUUAUGCACUUUAGUGUUACUAUUCUAGCUUAUAGCCUAGUUUUGGGAACAAUUCAUGUUCUUUAUGUGUGAUAAUGAUAUAAAUAAGCAUAUAGGUGUUCAAGGAUGUGAUUACAAUGGUUAAAAGUGUUUUCAAACAAGUUUGUAAUUGAUUGAGUCAUUUAGAGUUCAAUCGAAAAAACUAGUUUUACUUGCUUGAGCUAGUUGUGUGCCUAGUUGGUUUCGUGGGAUUCUAAUGUGUUAAAGGAGUUCCAAAUGGUUUAAAUGUGUAAUUACAAGUGUAAUAACUUGUUAGUAAAGUGUAAAUUUCAAUUGGAUUAAGUUAAGAGUCGGAACAAUAAGCUUAAGAUCAAUAUGGACUAGCCAAGUCUUAGCUUGUGUUUUUGAUUCAUCGUUAUGGAUAUUGUGUUGUUAUGAUCUCUUAUCCAUGGCGUGUGAUUAUGUAGGAAUAUUUGUGAUCUGAUAAUGGUGAUAUAUUGAUGAUAUAAAGGCUGAAAUUGAAGGAAAAAUAACACCACAAGGCAUGAGGGACCCGAACACUUAACCAAUAUUGUGGAAGCAACUUCCAGUGAGACAACGCGAUAUAGGUGCGGCGCAUCACUUGUUCUUUGCAGAAACCAAUGCGGCACAUUGGAUAUUCCAUGAAAAAGGUGAGGCAGCGCAUUAGAUAUUCCAUGGAAUCAUCAAUGCGUCGUGUUGCAAUCCGCUACACGGCCAAAUUGCUACGUACUUGUCCUACACGGCUUAGGCUACCAUCUUAUACUAUAAAUAGAACAUUGUUCACAUAUUGUAAAGAAUCUUGGACUUUUGGGCAUCUUGGAGGAUUGAGGGGCUGCUGAAACUUCAUCUUUUAGUUUUUUCUUACUUUAAUUUAGUUCAUUCAUGUCCUUAGUUGUUAAUUACAAUCGUGUGAUUACAAUAAUGACUAUGCGUGGCUAAACACCCUCUUUCUGGGAUUAAAGCCAAGAACAUGAGUACUAUUGUUUUGAAUUGAUUUCAUUUAAUUUGCUUAUCAUAUUUGGUUGCUUGUUUUUCCUUGUUUUAAUUAUUUUGAGGAUUGAUCACCCUUAAAAUAUACAAUGUCAACCUUGUGAUCUCGGGAGAUGGAAUAGGAAGAUAGAACGUGGGGAUGAACAAAGUAGGAUUCUUAUUUCUUUAUAAAAUAAGGAAUUUGAAUUAGCAUCUAGGACAGGGAUGUACCUAGAAGCCUUACUUGAUUCACAUGUAGGGUGAUAGAUUAAAGAACUUAAUUGUAUUAUUAUAUCCCCGCUCAACGAUGUAGUUGUAAUGUCCAAAUUAGGUAAACGAUUAAAGGUCAGGAGACCACGAUCAUGCAAUUAACCCUACGAAUCAACAACCAAGAUAAGCAAGUUAACGAAUGAAGUUCAAUAACGUAGUAUGAUUGUUCGGAGUGCUUUAACCCUAGGCUUUCUCCUAUUGAUUGUCUCAAGUCCUUUAUUUUAUGCAAUGUUUACUUUAAAAUUAGUUAUAACUUUAAAACUCUCUUUUGGUUACUCUUGCAUCAAUUGAAUCUAAAUUGUGAAUUGAAAUCAAAUAGUUAUUAGAACAAGUCCCAGUGGGAUCGAUAUUCGGCUUUCUUGAAGGUCACUAUACUACUUGGUAGACCACGUACAUUUGUGUGUGCACUUGGGCGUUGUCACAAUCAUUGUCAGUGACAACGAAUCGUCACCUUGAGUCAUUAUGACCGAAGAACCCAAGGUUCCAGUCAGAAUGGAGGGAGUCUACGACUCGCAUCCUUUGGUUACAAGUCGUAGAAAAUGCUUGGACUUUUUGUCUAUAGUUGGGUUCAUAGGGUGUAAACCCAAUUGUUCUUGAGAGCUAUGAUUUUUAUGAAUCAAAAUAGGGAGUAAAUGAUAUUUGUACUAAAAAUUGGAUAUGGCGAUGAAGUAGGAGUGUAUUGUAGAUGUGAAACCAAUGGAGAAGUCUGAGUACCCAUUAGGUAUGUGAAAAUCAAAACUGAACCCUCUAAGUAUCCAUGCAACAGUAGCUAUGAGACCCAUAACAAAUCAUAGUGUCACCUAACGAGUUGUUACUUGACUCGUAGCCACUGGGAAUAUGGGUGUAAAUACGAAUUUGGUUUCUAGUCACACCACCACUUACACUAUGAGUCGUUGUCUCACCAUAUGACUCAUAUUAUAGACUCGUGAUGACUAGGCAGGGGAGUACUUUAAGGAAAUUUUUUUGGUCCGACUAUGAGUGUUGGUGACAAGUCAUUUUCUGACACAAAGACUCAUUAGAAGGACUCGUAGCCUGACUAGUAAAUGAUCCAUAUGUCUUCUUUCACCCUACGAGUCUCAUAAUGACUCGUAACCUCUGGAAACUAGUCGUACCCUGAAUAGUAGGGUGCCUAACUGUUGCAACAUACUUGUUCUUUUUCUUGUUUUUCUUCCCUUUUCCUAGGAUUAACUAAUGUGUACGCUUCAAAAGGUACCAAUGGCACCCAAGAACGAUUCCACCAAGAAGCAAACACCAAAUAAUCAAAUCCACUCCCCACUAGUCAUCUCAAGGACGAAGCCACUAAUGAUGAGUCAAGUGGCUCCAUCAAAGAAUAUUCACUUGAGAGAGUGGUGGAACCAAGUAAGAGCCCACCUUGGGGCUCUAAAGCUGCUUCACCAGAAAACUCACCACCACCUACUAGGUCAAGGAUGAAUAAUCCUAUCACAUCGCCACCACACUCAUAGUCCUAAUCUGAAGAGGACAACUGUCCUCAAGGAUGAGGAUGAGGAAGCCGAUGAUGCAAAUAGCGGGUCAGAAAAAAUGAAAUCUGAGAAUGAGGGGUCAAAAAAUGAAGAGGAGGAGGAGGAAGAGGAGAGCAAAUCUAGUGAUAAAUCACUUGAGAUACCACCUCCUCCACCACAUGCUGAGCCAUUACAAAUUAAGACUUUCCCAUUAUUAACCAGGUGGGUACCCCGAGAUGUAGUAAUUAUAUAAGAGAGACAGUGCCAUCACCCCUUUUACUCAAUGACCAAAGAGAGGAUUCAACUUAGAGCCCAAGCUGAGUAUUACAAGCCUGUAUGAUAUGCCUGACUUUAUGACUCAUUUCAUAUAGUAUCACUUUAAGUAGUUGACUAAGGCUUCCAGAUAGUAUAGCCUGGUAUUGGUGUAGGAGUUUUAUGCCACUUAUUAGAUGGAGCUGAAAUAGCUUUAUCCACAGGGGAGAUUGUGAAAGGGUGGUGACCCCUUGGUUGCAGUUAUGAUCAGAGGUGUUCAUAAGAACAUCUUAACACAAACUAUCUCCAGGUGUCACAUAUAUAACGCCUCGAGUAUGCACCCCGAACGUCACACGAUGCUUACGACCCUGAGGGACCAUAAGCUAACCUAUGACUGGUACCUGGUAUGAUCACUGAAUAGUAAUACUGAAAACAUAUGUGAAAAUAAUAUGAAAAUGCCAUAAGGUUCGUAAGCUGAAAUCAAGAUACAAAAUACUAAUAGUAAUAUUGAGUAUAACUAACAACAAUAUCAGAUAAACUGAAUAACUGACUAAGCUAGUUUGAAAGCCUCUAACUAUCUGAAUAUGGAGUUGAUGGGAUAAGUCUCCAACUAACCCCAACUGAACUGACUACUGAGCUGCCAAAAUAAUGAAAUAAUAACCUCAUCCUCAAAAUAUGAGGACCUACCACUAUUUCUGCUGCUGAUAGCCAGAGUUGCUAGGUAUGGUCAAGAACCUGAGUGUUCGAACCUAUGAUAUGAUACAUCAUAGCGCAAAGGAAGAGUAUGUGUUAGUAUAUGGAAUAUACUGGUAUGCUAAAUGGGGUAGGCUAAUAUACAUGGGUUUAUAUGCAUGAGAUAAUAAUUGACUGAGUGAAUAUCAUGAAGCAACUGAAUGAGAGUACAUGUAAAAUAGUAACUAUUGGACAUACUGAACAUGUGAUACUGCGCAUGUAGAAGUAUAACUACUGAACAUACCAAACAUGCGAUACUGCACAUGUAAUUAUACAUCAUGUAUCAAAGAUCUAUACUAAAACUGAAUACUGAAUUUUGAUGGCUAUAUAAUUGAUAACUGAUAACUAAUAGCCAUUGUUCUGUAGAACUAUCUGACUUCUUUACUGUAUACUGAGAUGAAACUGUAACUGUGGAAGUGUUUAUCUAACCGACAUACCCCGAUAUAGACUGAUUUAGGGUCCAACCUCUGAUCCUAGUUGGAAGGGUGUUAGCACCUUGCCACGGGAUACUAACAAAGUUGGGUCAACCCUAAUCUGGCAGAAAGACUCAUGAAAUAUGUAUGUGUUUGCAUCAACCCUAGUCUGGCAGAAGGCUAUGCUGGCUAAGUAGUUCUAUAAUGCAGGGACUACUACUAAGGGUCAAACCUUCUGCUGGCAGGAAUGAACCUAUCCCUGGGUUCGCUCGGUGCUGAAUCCUACUCCCAACUAAAUAAACACUAAACUGAUUACUAGACUGUGCUAGGCUUGACGGAACUGAUACUCAUCGUGUUGACUGACUGUACUGGACUGAGUUCACCGAGUUCUCUUAAUUGACUGAAUACUACUACUCUUGACAUCUACUGGGACUAUUCUAUAGCUACUGCAACUAAGUAAAAAACUAGAUUUCAGGUAAUAAGUACCCUAAGACUCGAUAACAUCACUAAUAAUACAAUAUAACAAUUCUUAAAAGCAUAGAAAUAGUCAAUUGAUCACAAUGCAAUCACUGAGACAUUUUUUUCAAAUACUUGGAAGUCAUGAUCUUGUACAUGAAUGAGAACAAAUGCUAACAUGUUAUGGUUACAUUAUUCAAUUCACAUGGACAUUCUAUCAAACACUUUCAAGGAAUAGCAUUAGCAUAUGAGUAAUUUGAACAUGUAGUAAUAGCAUGAAUUCAUUACUAAGAUCACCAAUGGAUCACAAUGCACCAUUAAUUUACUUAGGCAUUUUGUCAAACACUUAUGAGGCAUAACCUUAUACCUGGGCAUGAACAAUAGAAUUGGUUCAUACCUCUUAUUCAAUCUAGGAUUAUGCCUAGCUCUAUGUUAAAGAGUUGGUUAGAUUACACGAAGUUACAUUGUCCAUUAUCUCAGAUAGAGAUACACAGUUUACCUCUUAUUUUGGGAAAGCUUUCAAAAAGGGUUUUGGUACCCACGUUCACCUUAAUACAGCCUUUCACCCUCAGACAGAUGGUCAAGUAAAAUGGACCAUUCAAAAUUUAGAAUAUAUGUUAAGGGUGUGUUCCAUUGACUUUAAGGGUAGUUGGGAUGACCACUUGCCCUUGAUUUAGUUCGUAUAUAAUUACAGCUAUCAUUCAGGAAUUUGGAUGGCUCCGUUUGAGGUGCUUUAUGGGAGGAGAUAUUGAUCUCCCAUUGGUUUGUUUGAAGUAGGUGAGGCUGCAGUGGUAGAGCCUGACUUGGUAUUUGAUACCUUAGAAAAAGUUUAGUUGAUCAGGAAAGAAUUAAGGCAGCUCAGAGCCCACAGAAAUCAUAUGCAGAUAUGCGAAGAAAGGAUCUUGACUUUGAGAUUGGCGACUAUGUGUAUUUGAAAAUCUCUCCUAUGAAAGGCGUGAAGAGAUUUAUCAAGAAGGCGAAACUCAGUCCCCGAUAUGUCGGUCCUUACUGAAUUCUCAACUAUUUCGGAAAGGUAGCUUACGAGCUUGAGUUGCCUUCAGACUUAGCUUCAGUACAUCUAGUGUUUCAUGUCUCCUUGCUUAAGAAGUGCAUAAGAGACCCAAUAGUUAUAGUCCCUAUAGAGGGUUUAGAUGUUCAAAAUAGUCUUUCUUAUAAAGAGAUCCCAGUAGAAAUCCUCGAUCAUCAGGUUCACAGAUUGAGGAACAAAGAAGUUUCGCUAGUUAAAGUUCUUUGGCAAAAUCAGUCUGUUGAGAGAGCUACUUGGGAAGUAGAAGCAGAUAUGCGGAAAAAGUAUCCUCACCUUUCUCCGUAAAAUCAGACUCAACUCAAGGUAACAGUCUUUCUUAGAUUUGCUUAGUUCAAUGUUUAGUUACAGUUAUAAAUUUAGUGUUCAUUACCAUUGCAUAUCAUCAUCAUGAUAGUCAUGCAUUCAUGAAUCAAAUUAACUAUGUACUCAUGCAUCAAAUAUUAUGUUUAGUUUGAAAACUCAGCUUAUCAGUAGUUUCAGUUAGGUAUUCCAUGCAUCAGAUAUGCAUGUGUAGUGUGUAAGCUCAGUCUGUCAGUGUUUCUUAGCUUAGUCUAAUUCAAGGAAAAAUGUUCCCAAGGGGGAGAUAUUGUAAUAUCCCACAAAAUUUUAAGCUUAACUCAGUCCGUUAAAGUUUGAAAAGAGGUCCCAAACUUAGAAAUUUCAGCUAAGUAUGUAUACUUAGAAGUAUUUUACCCUUCGUAAGUUGGCAAUCCUAUUUCAUGACCCUUAUGACCUUAAAGUAUCGAUUUUUAAGUUUAUUCAUGAUUAGGAAUGUCGGUAGGUCACUUUGAGUGAUUUUUGGAUUUUUUGAAUCUCGUUUGAACUAUGUUCAGGUGAACAAAAUAAUGGGUCGAUGCGAUCUCGAUGCAUCGCAUCACCCAUCGCAUUGAUAGAUAAUUUGCCCCUAGCUUUUAGUUCAAUUCCAGUGAACCAAUGUGAACUCGAUGCAGCGCAUUAGUCAUUGUGUUGAUGCCAUCGACGUGGCACGUUGGUCUGUGCGUCACAGGACACAUUUUCAAUCAUUAAAAGCCAGCAUCUAGAGGGGUAAUUGGGUCAUUUACCACCCGUAUUCAGCCUCAAAAACACGAGAUUAAGUCAUUCUUAGGGCUAAAACACUCACUUUCUCUCAAAUUCUCUCAAGAACAAACCCUAACCUAUCAAAGUCAAGAUCAAGAUUCAAGAACUUCACUAUCAAUCUUCAGGAAGUCAAGCACCAAGGUAUGUUAGGUGUUCAUCCAAGGGUUUCCUUCUACCCUUAGAGUUCAAGAACCAGUUUUUAAGUUUAUUGACUUCAUGAAUUCCAUGUUGAUCUUGAAUGCAUUCAUGAUUAUGAUGUUAAUUGAGUUUAUAAUUCAUGAUUUAUUACAAGAUUCAUGUAGAUUUAUUAUGACAUGUGUGUAGUAUUAUGUGAAUUCUUGUUAAAGCCCUUGAAUUUAUGAGUUGGGAUUAGAAAUCAUGAUGCCUACAUGUUGAGUAUUAUUAUGUGCAUAGAUUAUGUUCCCCAAGUGUUUGAUUAAUUGCUCAUAUGAAUUAAAUGGGAAAAUCAUGACAUGCUAGCAUAUGUAUAAGCUUAUAUCUUAUAAGUGUUUGAUAAAAUGUCUCUAUCAAUGCUUUUCAAGAUUAUGCUAUGCUUUACCUUUCAUGUUAUCGAGUCCUGGGGGUAUCUAAUACCUGAAAAUCUAGUUGUUUACCUAGAAUUAUAGUAGCUUUAGUAUAGUCUCAGUGAUGUCUCAUACAUUAGUAUUCAACCAGUUAACAGAAUUCAGUAUAUACAGUAAGUUAACAAACUUAGUGUACUCAGUCAGCUAAUAGAAUUCAUCAUACUCAGUCAGACAAUAGAACUUGGGGAACUCAGUUCAGUUAGACAGUACGAUCAGUAAUAGUUCAGUCAAGCCUAGAACAAUCUAGAAAUCAGAUUAGUCCAGGUCUAUUUAGUUAGGAGUAGGAAUCAGCACCGAGCGAACCAGGGAUGGGGGCAUUCCUUUCAGUAAAGGUUUUGACCCUUAGUAGCAAUCCCUACAUUACAGAACUACAUAGCCAGCAUAGGUUGAGAUGUCUUUCUACCAGUCUAGGGUUGAUACAUCUCGUAUGAGUUUUCCUGCUAGCGAAGGUUGAUGAAAGAGCUUCCUGUCAGACAGGGUUAACUCAUAGCCAUUGUUAGUAUCCCUUGACAAGGUGCUAAUACCCUUCCAACUAGGGUCACAGGUUGGACCCCAACUCAGUCAUACUCGGGGUAUUUUAGUUAGAUGAACUCUCCCAUAGUUUUAUUUUCAGACUCAGUAUAAAAUCUUAGAAUUAGGACUGUCAGACACAGUCACCCAACUUAGUAUAGAACUCAGUUCAUUUCUACAGAAUUAAGACUGUCAGAAAUAGUCACUCAGUAUUUCAUAAUUUAGUAUGAGUAAACUUAGAUAUCAGUUAUUCAGUACAUAGUGUUAAGAUUAAUCUCAGUUACAGCAUGCAUAGUUGUGAGAAUAUCAUUAAAUAUUCAGUAAUUACAGUAGUGUUAGAUAUACAUAUAUUCUCAGUCAGUUAUAUUCAUGUUACUCAGUUAGUUAUUAUUCAUGCAUAUAAAAUCAUGCACAUCAGCCUAUCUCACUUAGCAUACUAGUACAUUCAAAGAACUAACGUAUAUCUUUUUUUGUACUAUGAUGUCUUAUAUCAUAGGUUCAGAUGCAUGGGCUCCUAAACAUACCUUGAAGCCCAGAUUAUCAACAGUAGAUUUAGUGGUGAAUCCUUAUAGUUUAAGGACAGAGUUAUUAUUUCAAUAUUUUUAGUAUAUUAUCAGUAGUCGGGGUUAGUUGGGGACUUAUCCCAUCAACUCCAUUUUUUAGACAGUCAGUUAAAGGCUUUUCAAACUAGAUUAUUUUAGAUGGUUAUUCAGUUUUCAGAUAUGAUUGUUAGAUGUUCAGUAUUUAGUAUUUACGCAUCAGUAUAUGAUUUAGUUUUGAACCUUAUGGAGAUUUCCACCUAAUUUACAUAUUAUACAGUAUUAUUAUUCAGUAAUUGCAACAGGUACCAGCCAUGGGUUAGCUUGUAUUCCUUUAGGAUUAUGAGCAUCGUGUUACAUCCGAGUACAGACUUGGGGCGUUACAGACUCAUAGUUUCAUCUGUGUGAUUGCCCAUAUUUUUUGUUCUGACCAUGAUAUAACUAUAUGAGUCAUAUGGUUUGGUUACGAGUUGUAGAGUGAGACUCAUGACCUGAAGAGAGAAUACCUUGAGGUACUUCUUUGAUUACAAGUUGGGUGAAAACUCGUAAAGAUACCCUUCGAGUCAUAUAGUGACCCAUUAUCACUGGCGAUAAUUUUUUAACUUUUAAUUAAGGGCAUUUGUAAAGUCCCACUUUCCCCAUUUAAGACCCACGACUAUAAAACACCUUUGGCGCAUUAUUUUUAUCAUUUAACAAAUCAAAACACUCCUUUUACUCUCUCAAAUCCCUAAGUCAAAGGACACCUAAGGUUUCUCAAAGCUGAUUAUCUAGAGUUUUCAAGGGUGAAUACCCUCCAUAAUUGUGAUACUUUCAGGCAUCUGACUCUACCCUUAAACUUGUUUUAUAUUAAAACAUGAAUUUAUAUGGUUAUUUAUGUGGCUUUGUCCCUAAGUUUUGAUAUGAGUUGAGGGCUUUGGCAUAAAUUAUUUUCCUAUGAUUUAUUAUGCAUUAUUUUUGCUUUAUUAGUGGUUUUGAACUUGUGGGAUGCAUGAGUAUGAUGAAUAAACUAAGGGGUCAUGCUUUCCCCCAAUUUGGUGAUUUUGUCUUGGCAUAUGAUUUUGGAAAUUGCAUUCCCUCAACCCAUUAAUAUUGAAAUAUGGUUUUGUCACAUGGUUUGACUUGUUUACUUAUGCUAUUGCAUGGCAUAAAAGGCUAAUGAACCAUAAAUUGAUUUUAUUAAACUUCGAGAAUUAUGUAUUCCCUGUAUGAAUGAAUAAUUGAACCUAGGGGGUCAUGGAUUCCCCCAUGUAAUGGAAAAUAGAUAUGAUAUGAUAAUGUUAACUUAAAAGUGAAGUUGGUAUGAUGAUACCAAUGGUAUACCUUAAUGAAUGAAUUGGUUCAAUGAAUGAGAAUAUGUGAAAAGUAUUUUAAUUGGGCUUAAAGGAGGUUGUGUAGCCGGGCCUUGAAAGUGGAGGUCCUGAGGGGCCGAUACUGAAAAUUGCAUUUGCCGACACAGGGGUCUAAGUAAUUGGGUGGUUCGAGUCCCUCUUAUUAAAUGAUCUGGUGGUUAGAGUCCUCCAUGUUAAAUGACUGGGUGCUUAAGUCACCCUUGAUAUGGGACCAGAAGCUUUGAGUCCACCAUGGUAAAUAUGUACAUAUGAUUAUUCUAUGGUUCAUGUGGCUACACAUACUAGGGCCCUUUCAGCUGAGGAAAGAUGAACCCAUAUAGCCCGUGGGUGCCUUCUUAUGAUGGUUGAGAUACACAAUCUAGGUAAGUGGUCAUCCCAACUUCUCUUGAAGUCAAUUGCACACGUCUUUAGUAUAUCUUUAAGAGUCUGAAUAGUCCUCUCUGCUUGACCAUCUGUCUAAGGAUGAAAUGCUGUGCUGAGAUGGACUUGGGUACCGAGACCCUUUUGGAAUGCUUUCCAAAAGUGAGAAGUGAACUGGGUACCUCUGUCUGAGAUGAUAGAUAGGGGAAAACCGUGUAAUCUGACUAACUCCUUAAUAUAGAGUUUGGCAUAAUCCUUGGUAGAAUAAGAAGUACGAACAAGAAGGAAAUGAGCUGCCUUGGUCAUUCUAUCUAUAAUGACCCAGACUGAAUCAUGCUGAUGAUGAGUUCUACGCAAACCCAUCACGAAGUCUGUAGUAACUUCUUCCCACUUCCAAGUAGGAAUGGUGAACUCUUGCAUGGAACCACUAGGUUUCUGAUGCUCUAUCUUAACCUACUAACAUGUAGACCACUUAGCCACAAACUUUACAAUAUCUCUCUUCAUCCCACUCCACCAAUAGAUCUCCCGCAUGUCGUGGUACAUCUUAGUGGCCCCUGGAUGAAUAGAGUAUUGCGCACCAUGCGCUUCUGUAAGUAUUUGCUGCCUUAAUUCAUCUACACCUGGAACACAUAGAAGACCCUGACAACGAAGAACACCAUCUCCCUCUUGGGAGAAAUCCUCGACUUUCUGAUUCUGAACUGACUCUUUGAGCUUGACAAGGCUAGGAUCCCUGUCUUGUUUAUCUUUCACCUCAGAAACUAGAGAUGACUCUGAACUACUAUGAACACAUACACCACCCUCUAAAGAAUUGACUAAGCGAACGCCUAGUCUGGCAAGCUAACGGAUCUCCUGAGCCAUCUUUUUCUUGCUAUCCUCAAUGUGAGAAAUACUACCCAUGGAGAGUCGAGUGAGAGCGUUGGCCACAAUAUUGGCCUUUCCCGGAUAAUAAAGAACACUCAUGUUAUAAUUCUUCAAGAGCUCUAACCACCUUCUCUGACGAAGAUUGGGAUCUUUCUGGGAAAAGACAUAUUGGAGGCUUUUAUGAUCUGUGAAGACAUCUACAUGAACUCCAUAGAGAUAAUGCCUCCAAAUAUUUAAGGCAAAAACUACCGCGGCUAACUCAAGAUCAUGAGUAGGAUAAUUCUUCUCAUAUGGCUUUAACUGUCUGGAGGCGUAGGCUAUGACCUUACCAUGCUGCAUGAGGACAUAACUUAAACCCACUCUGGAUGCAUCACAAUAGACUACAAAACCGUCUGAACCAUCAAGAGUAGCUAGAACUGGAGCGGAGAUGAGUCGAGUCUUCAACUCUUGAAAACUCUUCUCACAUGAAUCUGACCACUAAAACUUAAUCUUUUUCUGAGUCAAUCUGGACAUGGGAGAUGCAAUAGAAUAAAAUCCCUCGACAAACCAUCUGUAAUAGCCAACGAAACCCAAGAAACUCCUAAUAUCUGAUGGAGAUACGGGUCUGGGCCGGUUUCUUACUGCCUUGGUUUUUUGAGGAUCUACUCUAAUUCCAUCACUGAAAAUAAUAUGGCCAAGGAAUGCUACUGAUCUUAGCCAAAAUUCACACUUGCUAAACUUAGAGAAUAAUUGGUGAUCCCUGAGAGUCUAAAGAACAAUCCUGAGAUGGUCUGCAUGAUCACGCUCUGCGCGAGAAUAGACCAGAAUAUCAUCUAUGAAGACUUUGACAAAUAUGUCCAAGUUCUUCUUGAACACACGAUUCAUAAAAUCCAUAAAAGCUGCAGGGGCAUUGGUAAGACCACAUGACAUAACUAAAAAUUUGAAGUGACCAUACCGAGUACAGAAAGCUGUCUUCAAAAUGUCACAUUCUCUAAUUAUGAGCUGAUGAUAGCCUGAUCUGAGGUCUAUCUUAGAGAAGUAACUGGCACCCUGAAUUUGGUCGAAUAGAUCAUCAAUCCUGGGAAGAGGAUAUCUGUUCUUGACCGUGACCUUGUUGAGUUGAUGGUAAUCAAUACACAUCCUGAGAGAACCAUCUUUCUUGCGCACGAAUAAUACUGGCACACCUCAUGGGAAAAUGCUGGGUCUGAUGAAUCCCUUAUCUAAGAGAUCCUUCAACUGAUCUUUUAGUUCCUUGAGUUCUUCUGGUGCCAUUUUGUAUGGCAAAAUAAAAAUAGGUUGAGUAUUCGAAAGAAGGUCUAUGCCGAAGUCUAUUUCCCUUUUGGGAGGAAUGCUUGGAAGAUCUUUGAGAAAGAUAUCUGAGUAUUCAUUAACAAUAAGGACUGUUUUGAGGAUGGGAUAUUUAAAACUGGAAUCUUUAACAUGCACGAGAUGAUACACACACCCCUUAGAAAUCAUUUUCCUUGCCUGAAGGUAGGAAACAAGUUGACCCCUGAACGCUGAAAUGCUACCCUUCCACUCUAGGACGGGCUUAUUCGGGAACUGAAACUAAACUAUCCUGUUUCUACAGUCGACUGUGGCAUAGGGAAUGAAGCCAAUCCAUGCCGAGAAUGACAUCAAAAUCAGUCAUCUCUAACUUUAUUAAAUCUGUUGACAUAGGUUUUUGAGAUAUCAUAACUGGGCAGUUCCUGUAUACUCGCUGGGCUAUGAUGAUUUUACCCAUUAGGGUAGAGACUGAGAAGGGAUCUGCUAGGACUUUGGGACUAAUUCCAAAAUCGCCUGCUAUGUAUGGAGUAACAAAAUACAAAGAUGCACCUGGGUCUAGCAAAGCAUAAAUAUGAACAUGGAAAAUCUGUAAUGUACCAGUAACGACAUCAGGAGAAUUUUCCUGAUCCUGCUGGGACUGAAGAGCAUAGAGUCUAUUUGGGUGUUGCCCAUUGAUAGCACUAGAAAUAGUACCCUGCUGGUUCAGGCGACUGGACUGAGCUAUAGAAUAAUUUUGCUGACCCUGAAGGCUUGACUGCAGACACUCUCUAAUCCUGUGGCCUGGCUUGCAAAAACCAAAAUAGACAUCACUACCAGCUCUUCAAAUGGCCUUGUGGUUCCUACCAUAAGUCUGACAAAAGGGAUUGUUCGGGCACUACUAACAUUGCCCUGAGAUUUAGAUCUUGGUGCUUUGUUUUGAUUGCCGUCUCUAAACUUUGGCAUGUAGUGCUGGCAGAGAAAGGAGCUGGAAUGGCUGACUUGGAGCAAAAUUGUGAACGAUUUCCUCUAUCUGACUUGGGGUGAGCAAAGUUGGAAUUACCUAACCUUGCUCUCAUGUUCUGCCUCUCCCUAGUCUUAAACUUCUGCUCUUCUACUUACUGGGCAUGGGUCAUGAGUCUUGCUAAGGUCAUAUCACCGAUCAGCAUUGUAUACCUACACUCAUUUACUACGCUAUCGUUGACCCCUGACACAAACUUGCUCAUCUUAGCUUUAUUGUCUACAACCACAUGAGCAGCAUAUCUGGCUAGCUGAGUAAAUCUGAGAGAAUACUCCCUAACCAUCAUAUUCACCUGCCUGAGGUUGAUGAACUCAAGAACUUUGGCUUCCCUCAGCUCUUGGGGAAAGAAUCUGUCUAAGAAGGCCAUGGCAAAUUCCUCCCACUCGAUAGGGCCAGUAUCAUCUAACCUCUCAGACUUCCACUGUUUGUAACAAUCAUGAGCAACAUCCUGUAACUGGUAGACGAAUAACUCAGCACUCUCAAUAGAAGUAACACCCAUGAUGUCGAUAACCUUCUAGACUUAGUCAAUGAACUCCUGAGGGUCCUCAUCAAACUUAGACCCAUGGAAAGAUAGAGGGUUUAUCCGGGUGAAGUCCCAAACCCUAGCUGCUUUGGGAGUCCACUGGAUUGGCUGGAAUGACUGGUGGUCAUUCAUUUUGUGCAGCCAUAGACUGAUCAAGUAUGGUAAAUGCGGCUCUAAACUCUGCAUGGGAAACAUCUGCGCCCAAAGGAUCUUUGGGCUAAGUAGCUGGCUAGUUUCUUCUCUUUGGGUCCAUGGUCUAGAAUAAGAGAAGAAUGGAUUAGACUGAGAUUCUAACUUGUGAUUAUGCUCACUAGCAUGACAUGAAUAAUGAAGAAAGGGGACUGUUCCUAAAACAUCUUAUAGCCUCCCGCACAUAAAUGUAGCGCGCAAUACACCCAUGUACAAGACUCUACUAGAUGCGGCUUUUAGACUUCCUAGGACUCUAUUGAACCUUAGGCUCUGAUACCAAGUUUGUAACACCCCGAUUCGCUGAAAUGGAAUGCUACACAGUGCUCAUGACCCCGAGGGACCACAAGCUAACCCAUGACUGAUAUCUGUACCUAUAUACUACAAAUCAUGAUAUAAUAAUACGGAAUACAUAGAACUGUAAGGCCAUAAGGUUCAAUUGAAUAAAACCAUGUGGGUGAAAAUAUCCAAAACAACUCAAUCUAAACGUAAAUCUGAACAUAAAUCUAAAAGCCUCUAAACUAUCUGAAUAAGGAGUUGAAGGAACAUGUCUCCAACUAACUCCGUAAAAUUGAACUGAAAAAAUAAAUGUAUCAAAUCAUAUUAUCCUCAAAUCAAUGAGGACUCACUGUGUCUCUGCGACUGGAAUGCUACCGCUACUGCUGGGCUGGAGCUCGUGUCUCGAAACCUAUGGUGUAACAUAAAAAGAAAGCACCAUAGUGUAAAUGCGUCAGUACAACUGGAGUACUGAGUAUACAAGGAAGGUAGGCUGAACAAAAAGGGUUUCAUGCAUGAACAACACUGACUGACUAAUAUGAACGUGGGAGUGCAAACAUACAUAUAUAGAAACUAGGAUCGUGAAUACAUGAUAGCAUGACCUGUAAGCUAAUACACGAUUUACUGAUAACUGUCAUGACUGAUACUGAAACUGAUAACAUGGAUGACUGUAUUUGACAGUCCUGUCUAUACUGAAAUUUGAAGAAUGCCCUAAAUUAUUUUACUGAGACUAAUACUGAAACUAUGGGAAGUAGUGUUUAAUCGACAUGCCCCAUGUAUACCGUUAUGGCUAAGCUGGGGUCCAAUCUCUGCCCCAACUGGAGGGGUGUCAAUACCGUGCCACGGGUAAGGACAGCCUAUGAGUGAUCCUUAUCUGGUGGGUAUUCAAUGAGAAUGGUGGGAACGCUAAACUGAUGGGUUAAGCCACCUCAUCAACCCUAAUCUGACGGGUUAAGAUGUCUCAACCUACGCUGUCUACGUAGUUCUAGAACACAAAGAUACCACUAAGAAUCACACCCUGAACUGGCGGGUGAGUUCCCAUCCUUGGGUUCACUCGAUGCUAACUCGAUGCUAACCUCUAAUCCCAUAUGGAGGGACUGGACAUGAAUAACAUAUUGUGCAUAACUUAAUCUUACUGAAUUUUAUUAACUGGCGGAAUAUUACUGAUAUAUGACAACUAACUAAGAUCAUGAGGUUUUCCUAAGUCACAUGGCUGACUGAAGUCUAUGGAAUCAUAGCUUGAGUUCGGAUAUCAUGAAACAUGACAUGUAUCUAGGCACACAGUUAUAGUUUUGGGUACAAGUACCCCCAGGACUCGAUGGAAGAAAACUAACACACAUGACUGACUUGAUCAUAAGAGUAGAGUCCAUAAUUUAUAAUAUCAUAAGUAGGGAACUCAUACUAAGCAUGGUUAUCAACAAUGUAUAGCAUGGAAAGGAUUUCAUAUCACAUGGAAGUACUUGCANNNNNNNNNNNNNNNNNNNNNNNNNNNNNNNNNNNNNNNNNNNNNNNNNNNNNNNNNNNNNNNNNNNNNNNNNNNNNNNNNNNNNNNNNNNNNNNNNNNNNNNNNNNNNNNNNNNNNNNNNNNNNNNNNNNNNNNNNNNNNNNNNNNNNNNNNNNNNNNNNNNNNNNNNNNNNNNNNNNNNNNNNNNNNNNNNNNNNNNNNNNNNNNNNNNNNNNNNNNNNNNNNNNNNNNNNNNNNNNNNNNNNNNNNNNNNNNNNNNNNNNNNNNNNNNNNNNNNNNNNNNNNNNNNNNNNNNNNNNGAUUCCAUCUUGGGAAUCACCCAAUAUCAACAACAUGAUCAUCAACACCCAACAAUAUAGAAAUCAUACUUUAUAAUGAAAAAGAGGGUUUUUGAGCUUUAUGGAUAAAAGGGAUCCAUAAAUCAACUCACGCAUACCUUAGAAGGAAAGAUUCUUGAUGAUGGACGGAGGAAUUUUCUUGAAAUCGGAUCUUCAAGCUUAGUUACUCAACCCUAGUUGUUUUUAUCUUUUAGUGCUCUUGGAUGAUGAGCUUUGAGAUGAUAAUAGGGUUGUACUAUGUUUAGAAGCUAUAUAUUUCGUAGGGUUAAGUUUAGGGACGUGUAAGGAGUGUUGAAAGACUUAAUUACCCUUAAAAUAACUUAAAACGGAGUGUUUUUGGCACCUGGAAUUGACUUAGGUGGAGCCCAAGUGAUUACCUAAGCUAGGUUAGGCUGCACCUAACCAAUCGCCUAUGCUUGGGUUGGGCGGCGCCUAACCAAUCGCCUAUGCUUACUGUCUCUCACAAAAAUGGGCAUAACUUUUCGCUUGGGUAUUGGAUUAAGGCAAAAUUGGUAUCGUUGGAAAGAUAAUUUGAUUCUAUACAAUUUGGUUGGUCUAAAUCAGCGAAAAUACCAUAUUAACAUCAAUUUAAUCUCAUUCAAAUAUGACCCUUGCAAAAUCAAACACUAAAACUUGCUGGAUUCAAAAACUCUUAGCUUGUAUUACCUUAAGUGACUCAUAUGAACAUGCUUAAUGCAUCAUAAGCUAUCCUAUCACUAGGAUAUUCAUUGUAAAUCAUGUACUCAAGUAUGAAUCAUACGAUAGGAGAUUUCAUAUGUAGGAAUACUUAUUCACUUCCUAGCUUAGAAACAUGUAGGGUAUUACAACCAGUGAGUCUCUUCUUUUCCCAAUAUGGAUGACAUUUAGUGAUCACUUUAAGUUAAGGUUCUAUUCUAAUGUCAAGGUUAGUAUAGCUCUCCCCAACGUGGGUAAGAUAUUGGAGUCCAUGAUAGCUCACAUGGUUUAUGUCGGUUAUAAGAAUUUCCCACAAAAAAAAUAAAAGCAAAAGAUUUUAGAAACAAAGUGUUAAGACUCAUUAAGCUAUUUCUUUAUGCUAUUUUAUUCAUGUUUCUAUGAGUUUUUAGUUUUCAGCUGUAUUAUACUUAGCAUGCAUGAUUUGAAAGUAUACUUAGUACCUAUUUUACUUAUGCAUUCACCCCCAUAUACUUAGUACAUUCUAGAAAUAUAUAUCUAUGUGCUACAUUGUCUUAUAAUGUAGGUUUUGGUACUCGUUUCUAGUAGAACGAUUGAUCACGGGUAUCACCUCCUAUAUCUCGACAUAUUGUGAGUCCUCAUAGGUUGAGGACCCAACUUAUCAGACUCUUAGACUUUCAUGAAUGUUGUUUUAAUUAUUUGAUUUUAGUUUAUAUUCGGGUCAGCUGGGGUCUGUCCCAGUGACACUAUAGUUAGUAGUAGAGGCUUGUUAGACAAAUGCAUCUUUCAGUAAAAGAGAUUUAUUGAGACUUCUUAUUUGCAAGUUAAGAUUAAGACUUUAAGUCGUUUCCCUUCAGUAUUCAUAUGUAUGUCAGUACACUUUCCAUGUGAAUCCAAGAAGAUUAGGUAGUAUAAGUUAGCGUGGGGAUAUUCAUAGUCCUAGGCACCGUGUAAUGUCUAGGGAGUACUCUCGAGUCAUUAUAGUGACUCGUUGUCACUGGCGAUAAUUUUUUAGCUUUUAAUUGAGGGCAUGUUGGUAAAUUCCAUCUUUCCCCACUUAAGGACCACAACCAUAAAACACCUUUGAGGCAUUAUUUUCAUCAUUUAAGAAGUCAAAACACUCCAUUUACUCUCUCAAAUCCCUACAUCAAAGGACACCUAGGGUUUCUCAAAGUUGAUUGUCUAGACUUCCAAGGGCAAAUUCCCUUCAUAAUUAUGAUACUUUCAUGGAUGUGACUCUAUCCUUAAACUUGUUUUACAUUAAAUCAUGAAUUUAUAUAGUUAUUUAUGUGGAUUUAUCUGUAAUACCCCGUAAAAGUCUUUGUUAUGUGACCCCAUUUGUGGUUGUGCAUUUUGGUUUUGAUCCCGAGUGUAUUUUGAACCUUUUUUAUAUUUCUACCCUGGUGGGUGACUCUAUGGUUUCCAAAAGAGUCUAAAGGGGUUGUGUGGUAUCUGUGGGUGGUUGGGAGACUUUGGUGUAUCUGUCCGGAUUAGACAUGGUUGAUUUUGAUGUCAUACUAGGGAUGAAUUAGUUGCACUCGUGCUAUGCUUUUCUAGACUAUCGAACCUAUAAGGUCAUUUUUAAAUUUCCUAAUGAGCCAGUUAUUGAGUGGGAGGGUGGUUUCCCAGCUUAUAAAGGGAGUUCAUAUCAUAUCUUAAAGCUUGGAGAUUAAUUUCUAAAGGGUGUCUCUAUCAUUUGGUCUGGGUUAAAGAUUCUAACUCAAAGGGUCAUUCUUUAUAUUCUAUCCUGGUGGUUAAUGAAUUUCCUAAGGUCUUCCCUGAUGACCUUGCUAGUGUUCCUUCCGAUAGGGAGAUUAAUUUGGGGAUUGAUCUUGUUCUAGACACUCGUCCUAUCUCUAUUCCACUAUGUAUAAUGGGUCCAGCUGAGUUAAAGGAGCAACUAAAGUAUUUUUUCGACAAGGGUUUCAUCCAUCCUAGUGUGUAUCCAUGGGAUGCACCAGUUUUGUUCAUUUUUAAGAAGAAUGGUUCCCUGCGUAUGUGUAUUGACUAUCGGUAGUUGAAUAAGGUGACGGUAAAGAAUAAAUACCCUUUUCCAAGGAUAGAUGAUUUGUUUGAUUAGCUUCAGGGUGAUAAAUUUUUCUCCAAGAUUGAUCUUCGGUUUGGGUAUCAUCAACUAAAGAUUAGGGAGGUGGAUAUUUAUAAGACUGUUUUGCGUACCCGAUAUGGGCAUUUUGAGUUCUUGGUUAAGUCUUUUUGGUUGACCAAUUCCCCAGCGGCAUUCAUGUACUUGAUAAAUAGAGUCUUUUAUCAGUUUCUAGAUUUGUUCACCAGUGCAUUCAUAUAUGAUAUUCUGGUGUACUCUAAGAGCGAGGUGGAUUAUGUCGAUCACCUUCGCAUGGUGUUGCAGACCCUGAAAGAUUAGCAAUUAUAUGCCAAAUUUUUGAAAUGUGAAUUCUGGUUGAACCAUAUCACUUUUCUAGGUCAUGUUAUUUCUAGUGAUGGGAUUAUAGUGAAUCCACAGAAAUUUGCAGUGGUUAAGAAGUGCCCUAGACCCAUGACUCCAACCGCUAUCCAAAGCUUCUUAUGUUUAGCUAGUUACUAUAGGAGGUUUGUGGAAAGUUUUUUGACUAUAGCUACCCCGUUACUAAGUUGUCUUAGAAGAAGGUAAAGUUCUUGUAGUCUGAUGCUUGUGAGGGUAGUUUUGAGAAGUUGAAGGAUAAGAUAACUUCGGUGCCUGUCUUGUCUUUGCUUGGGAACUGAUGGUUUUGUAGUCUAUUUUGAUGCAUUCCACAUGGGGUUUGAUUGCGUCUUGAUCCAGCAUGAAAAGGUGAUAGUUUAUGCCUCUAGAUAAUUGAAGUUGUAUGAGAAAAAUUAUCCGACUCGUGACUUGGAGCUAUUGGCUGUGGUGUUCGCAUUGAAAAUCUGGUGUCACUAAUUGUAUGGAGUGCAUAUGGAUAUCUUUUAGAUCAUAAGAGCCUGCAAUAUGUGUUUACCCAGAAAGAGUUUAACCUCAGACAAAGGAGAUGACUUAAGCUGCUCAAGGACUAUGACAUGAGUCUUCACUACCAUCCAGGUAAAGCUAAUGUGAUUGCUGAUGCUCUUAGCAGGUUGUCCAUAGGGAGAAUAGCUCAUGUGGAUGAGAGAAAGCAAGAAUUAGUAAAAGAUGUUCACCGUUUGGCUAACCUUGGAGUUUGCCCAUUAAACUCUAAGAAUGGUGGUUUGUUUGUUUAGGAGGUGGAGAAUUCAUCCCCACGUGCUGAGGUAAAGGAGAAACAUGUGUUAGAUCCUAUCUUAAUGAGGAUCAAGAGUGAUAUAGUUGGAUAGAAAGAAAAGGGUUAUAUCAAGAAAUUGAGUUGCUUGUGUGGAAGUGGUAAGUGAUCAACAUGGAUUUCAUUACCAAAAUCCUUGCUCUCAAAAUCAGUUUGACUCGAUUUGGGUCAUUGUGGAUAGGAUGACAAAGUCUACUCACUUUUUUCUAGUAAGGACAAUUUUUUUGGCAGAGAAUUAUGCAAUGUUAUACCUCUAAGAGGUCGUGAAGUUGAAUGGAGUACCUAUUUUUAUUAUCUUGGAUCAUGGUGUGCAGUUUUCAUCGUACUUUUGGCGAUCGUUUUAGAAGGAUUUGGGGACUAAAGUGAGUCUUAGUACUGCUUUCCACUCGCAGUCGGAUGGACAAUUCAGAUAUUGAAGGAUUUGCUUAGAGCUUGCGUGAUUGACUAUGAUGGUAAUUGGGUUGAGCAUUUGCCUCUUAUAGAGUUUGCGUAUAAUAAUAGCUACCACUCUAACAUUGAGAUGGCUCCGUUUGAGGCCUUGUAUGGUAGGAGGUGCAUUUUUCCUAUUGGGUUGUUUGAGGUUAGUAAGGUGGAGAUGUUUGGCUCUAAUUUGAUUCACCAAGCUAUGAAAAAGGUGAGGGUGAUUCAGGAUUGGCUUAAGGAUGCCCAAAGUCGCCAGAUGUCCUAUGAAGAUGUGAGGAAUAAGAAGUUAGAGUUUGAAGUUAUGGAUUGGGUAUUCUUUAAGGUGUCUCCCAUGAAGGGAGUGAUGCAGUUUGGGAAGAAGGAGAAGCUCAGUCUCUGGUAUGUUGGUCCGUACUUAGUUUUGAGAAGGGUUGGCAAUGUUGCGUAUGAGUUGGAGUUGCCUUCUAGUUUGAGCUCCAUUCACCCAGUAUUCCUUGUGUUUAUGUUGAGGAAGUGGGUGGGUGAUCCACAACAAAUUGUGCCUAUCAAGGAUAUUGGUAUUUUGAAUUCCCUGUCUUAUGAGGAGGUCUCUGUUAAAAUCUUAGAUCGGCAGGUUCGUCGGUUGUGAACCAAGGACGUAGCUUCGAUAAAUAUUCUAUGGAGGAACCAUUAGGUGAAAAAUGCUACAUGGGAAACUGAAGAGGAUAUGAAGUCCAAGUAUCCAUUCGUAUUUCCCAUUCUGAAAAUCGUGCUUAAGGUAUGUAUUGUUCUCAACAUCUUUGUUUUCUGUCUUUGUUAAAGGUAGAUUAUGAAUUCCUUGGUAAUCUUUUUCUAUCUUAAAGGAAAGAGUAGAGAUGUUUGGGGGUUUAAUCGUGCUAGUCACUGCUUUGUCCCAUCAUUCAAGGAUGAAUGAUCCAAGUGGGGGAGAAUUGAAACACCCUGGGUUUUGGCCCUUGGAAAUUUCCCAAGCUUUAAGCUCACUUUCCUAUAAUGACUCAUCAUACGAGUCAUAUAGUAUGGGUAUGGGUCAGGUGACCUUAGUCAUUAGGUAACCAGUGAGUGGUGGUUGGGUUUUGGUCUUGGUAAAGACUUGGUGGUAUGAUUCAUUAGGGUUGGUGACAGAUCGUUAGGAUGAUACUUAACCAAAUCAGUAACUUAGUAACUUGACUUAGCUUUGAGUACAAGUGGCUCACUAAGAGCUGCGAGGAUAGGUUAUGAGUGGUAGGGUUAAGUCGUAUGUUGUUAGUGUCCAAUCCCAUUGAUUUUGUCUUGGAUACGACUAGAGUCUUGACGCGUGACCACAAUAUAUGACUCCUUGACUUGUACAGAUGUAGGGUUGUAGCCCGUGGGUGGUUUUAGGAUGGACAAUCUAUACAACCAAGGUUAAGGAUUUAAAUGCAUGCUAAACCUUGUUUUGUAUCCCGACAUGAUAUAUAUACAUGUGAUUUCAUAUGGUUAUUUGACUUGGUUUUGAAUGAUGGCAUUAUUUUAUCUUUAUCCUUGAGUUAUAUGCUAGCGUUCACUCUGCUAAUCGGCUUUAGGCACUGUAUCCCCACGCGAUGCAAGAACCAAUCAUACUAUCAUUCCUCCUGCUUAGUGACUUGGAUUCGGAGACGACUUUGAUUCGGACUGAAGUGGUGAUCUUUCAUACUCUGAAAGACUCCAUUUCAUGCUAUGGAAUUCUUUUCAUUAUUGUUAUUUCUUUGGUUUUGGUUUCGGCUAUGGUCGGGGGCAUGUCAUGGCCGGAUACUCUUUGUUUCUAGUUAGAGGCUUUAUCGGACUACUAUAGACAUGGGCAGUGUCGGUAUUAGUGUUAGCAUUGGGAUUGGAAAUGGAUGGUUGAUUGGUUUUGGUUUUCAAUUUUGGUUUUAAGCUUACUUUAUUGUCUUUAGAUUAUUAUUGCUCUAUCUUGUUAGUAUGGUCAAUGAUGGGGUAUUGGGGGUGGUCUCCAAUAUUGAUUGGACUUGAGACACCCGACACGACUAGGCCCUAGUUCGGGUUGUGUCACACACCAAGCCACAUAAUAAACGUUUCAAGAUAUAUAAUGAAUGUACAAAAUUCUACCAAAACUGGUUCAAGUCUUGGCUUAAGGAGGGUCGAAAGCUCACUUCUAAUCCCCGAAACUCAUUAUAAGGUAAACUCUGCCCCAAACUAGGCUAAGGUAUCUAGAUCCACUUUUAGAUAGUAAACAAGCCUUGAUUAGCCCUAAGAUAGAAAUUCUACUAAGGAUUUAGGAAACUAAGCCAAAUACACCUAAAUUAUGAUUUUUGGAUAGCCUAAGAGGUCCAACUAACCCAAGUAUUGUAAAUUUUGUUAUUAACCCCUAGAACUCAUCCCAAAUCUAACAUAAUAUCAUAAGCCUACUAUGACAUAGCUGAAUCUAUGAAGAAGGGAAAACCUAACCUACCUGGACGCCAAAGAGAGCUCAAAGGAUCUGCUAAAUCACUGAUUUUCCUUCCGAGAAGCUUCUGCAAGGUGCCACGCUAUCAACAUACAAUCUACUCAUUAAAAUGAGAACAAUGAUACCCAUAUUGCACUUUGCUUCAGGUCUAAAACUACGCAAAAAUCCCAUGUGGCUCUUAUUUAUGAAAAUCGCAUUUUCGAAAUCAAAUCAACAUCGCCAUAUGUUCAAAGAGUAAUUACCCCUAAAAAAUGGGUGAAUUUCAAGCUAUAUUGGUUCUAAAAUAAAGUCACCAAUGUUUAGGUAAUUUAGAUGGAGAAAAUGGAAAAUCAACCAUGAAAAUAAAGGAGUCUUACCGCAAAUUUGAAGGAAAAUUGCAAAAUAAAUCUUUAUUCAUGCUCCCAAAAUCACCCACAAUGCUAUUUCUAAGCUAUCCCACUCCUUAGUGUUUAGAACUCUUGAGAAUUGAUGAUAAAUGGGAUAAAAGGGGCUAAAAGGGGGUAUUUAUACCCCUCACAGGUACACGGGAGUCACGCUCGUGGUAUGGCAUUCGGAAUAGUGAUACCAAGCCAAAAUAUAGAAGUCACGUUUGCGACAAAGGAUAUUUCUUUCACGAUACCUAUCCGUUGCCAUAGGGAGUCACUUUCACAACAUAGGUGUAAUACCCCGUACUUUACUUAGUCUCGUUUAACUCCUAGAAUGUCAAGGGUUAGCUUUGAAAAUGAAUAAAUCUUGAUACAUAUAGAAUUUUCAAGCUCUAGACCCACCAAUGUGUAGAUAAUUGGCUCAUAUUUCCAACGAUACCAAUUUCGCCUUAAUCCGAUACUCGGUUGAGAAGUUAUGGCAUUUUUAGUAAAAUAGUAUGGCAUUUCGACAGGCACUGCACCACGGUGAAGGACAAAAUUGCAAUUUUCUGAUUCUAGUGAGGCACCACGAUUGGCCCGUGGUCCCAAUUCCCGUUUGUCAAUUUCCAGGCACUCACUGCGAUGGUACUGGAUUGCGGUGAUGGCCUAAAUGGCAUUUUUCAAUUUCCAGUGGCUUACUGUGAUAUCCCCGCACGUGGUGAAGUUCCAGUUUGCAAUAGUCCCUUUUCCAGUAAGCCACUGCGAUAGUGGCGCGUCGUGGUGGUGCCCAAAAUCGGGAUCUCCAAUUUCUGAAGUUGAUUUUAAAAGUGUAGUUUAGUCUUUUCCCAAGCCCCCAAUUCGUGAAUAACACUGAAUUAAUCCUAUUCCAACCAUUAUAUGCUCAUUUUUCAUCAACUUCCUCUCAAAGAAACCCUAGAACAUCAAAACUUAAUUCCCAAGAAAUCCAAAAUUCCAACAUUCUUUCUCCAAGGAAGCUCAAAAUUAAGGAUUCCAAUUCAAGAACUUCAAGAAUCUAACUUCAAGAGCACAAAUAGGGAUUCAACAUUCGAAUAUCAUUUAAUCAUCAAUUAAGGUAUGUGGGGUUUUGAAAAAGGAUAAAUCUUUCAUCCUUGUGCCCAAAACUAGUUUUUAAUUAUAAAUUUACAUGAUUUUGUAUGAAUAUACAUGAUUUUUAAAUUAGGGUUCAUACCCAUUAUUGUUAUUUGUAAGAUUAUGAGAUUUCAAGUGAUUUAGAAGUUGAAUUGCAGGCGUAUUUUUGUAUUUUUAUACGUAUUACAGUAAAUUCCAGAUUUUGAGUUGAAUUAUCAAUAUUUAUAUUAUCAAGCAUUAACAUUAUGAUGUUUUAACAGGAAUUUGAUGCAUGAAUCAUUAAGACCUAAUUGGAUAUUGCUAUUUCAAGAUUGAUUGUGCUAUGAGCACCCUUUGACUAGAUUGUUUUCAAAUUUUUGAUACAUAUUUGAUCUUUUGAUCUCAGCUUAGAUAUGUAAUCCACUUUAUAGUUUCAAAUAACAGUUUAACUUAACAAAUAUACAGUUGGUUUUCGUAAUAAACCAUUAUACUAGAUUUUAAAGUGUAUUUUCAACAGAAUGAGCAUAUAGAUUAAAGGGAGUAGUAUUUAGCACCGAGUUGGGUAUGUUCUCAUGCCCCAGAACUACGAGCCAAUAUAGGUUCAGAUUAUCAGAUUAAUCCAAUUUCUAUAUGGAUGACAGAUACAGAUGUGAUCACUUAGGUUAGGUUAUACUCCUUGGCAAGAGUAUGACACCUCUCCCUAAUGUGAGGUUUUUUCAUAAGGGAACUAGACGUUAGACUCCAUGAUAGCUCACAUGAUUUAUGUCGGUUAGAAGUACCUCCCUACAAAAAAGAGUAACCUUACAGAAAGUUUUUAAAAGUGUUUCCCUAAUAGUAAAAGUAAAUAAAUAGCUUUUGAGUGAAUUUUCCUAUAGCUUACAGAAAAGAGGAAACAAUAACAGAAAAACUUUUAGAAACUAAGUGUAAAGGCUCAUAGUUUUAUUUAGACAUUGCUCUAUAUAAGCCUUUAGCUACAUAUUUUAGCUUUCAGAUUUCUGAUAUGAAAGUGAGUCCUUUCUACACUUGACAACAUGAUUUAUAGACAGAACACUAGUACAACUUUUAGCACUAAAUGAUAUGACUCAAUAGAUUUAUAAAGCAUGUUUUUCUAUUCAUGAUUAGGAUUUUUAGUUUUCAGAUAUUCUAGCUUAUGUGAGUCAUUUACAUUUAGCAUGCAUUCUUUUACAAAUUUAUAAUAAUAUUGAGAUAUUGAUUUACUUGUGCAUUCACCCUCAUAUACUCAGUAUAAUCCAGAAGUACUGAUCCACAUGUACGUAUAUGUGCUACAUUAUCUAAUAAUGUAGGUACCAGUUCAAUUGUAGUCCAUAUACCACGAUCAGACAGUUGUAGACUCCAGCCAGUGGAUGAUGAGUCCUUCUACUUCGGGAACUUCAGUUAGCUAUUAUUUAUGUACUUUACUUUCUUACUCAUAUGUAUUGAUUAGUGGUAGUUGGAUUCAUGUCCCAGCUAUCUAUAAUCAGUAUAGUAGAGGCUUCACAGAUGUCAGUCAUAGUCAGUUAUGUAAUUUCAAGUCUACUCUUCAGUUUUAUCAAAAAUGUUAAAUUGUACUAGUAUUGUAUUUUUCUCAGAUUUCAUCAUGAUUAUAUUUCUGCACAGUAAACUCAGUCAUUUUAUACAGAUUUAGAUUAGUUACUUAACAGUAUACCGGUACAAGAGUUAGCUUGGAACCACUUGCGAUCUUAAGCACCGUGUGAUGACUAGGGGGUAGUCUCGGGUAGUUAUAAUAGGUGUCACAUUCCCAUUAUUCAUUGAUGGUGUACAUAUUGCUAUCACUAUCGGUGACUCAUGGAUGCGAGUGCACCAACACCAGUUGAGACUUGGAAAUUUCCAACUCUCCACCAACCCCUCGGGAUUCAUUCAGAAUCUUGGAUAUGCAAAUAGCCUAUGCUACCCCAUCAAAUUCGACUUUCUAAAAUCAAUGGUGUAGUCAAAAUUUCCAUUCUAGGUUGUUUCAAUAAAAAGUGGAUCCCAUACCUAAUUUACCAUUUUCUUAACUUCCAACCAAUAACUAAAAAUGAGCCCAGGCACCUCGAGAUCCGACCUAAAGUUCCACCUAGCCUAAAAAUAAUAUUUCGAAGCUAUUGAAAUAAUUAAAAUUGGCAUACAAGGUUGUUUGGUUGAAAUUUUUGUCCGAUAGUCAAUUUGAACCACUAGAGACUCCAAAAAAGAGAAUUGCCUCUAAAAAGAAAAUGAACUGCCCAAUAACUGAGCUGUCAGUUCUAGUAAGUCAUAAAUGACUUGGGGAAGCUAUAGUAUAAGACCCCACAAAGUUCCCUCAUAGUCUGAACCUUAGAGCGUGUCAAGCAAAGCAUAAUUUUGGUCCUAAAAGAUUGAGAAGUGACUUCCUAAGUGAUUGGUGUUUCAAUCAUAUAGAAUUUUCUUAAAUUUGACUUUUUUCAUGUAGAGAAUUGAAUUAGCUUUCCAAUGAUACCAAUUUCAUCCAAAUCCGAUAUCGGGGUGAGAAGUUAUGAUCGUUUUACUGAGAGUUGUCGGAACCGCUCGGGUGCCACGGACGAUCUGACGGACCGUUGAGUCUAGGACUGACCGUCGCUUGGCCCAUUGCAACCAAGGCAGUAACUCCCUUUUUUGGACCAAGUGCAAAAACCAAAAUGACGGACCGUCAAGGCUGCGACGGACCGUCGCUGGGACCGUCGCGCUCAGGCAGUGUGUCCUUAUACUGGCCAAUGUGUGACGGAUGAUCCGACACACUAUUAGGCUGAGUGAAGGACCAUUGCUUCGACCGUUACACCAAGGCAGUAUGUUCUUUUUUUGACCAGUUUGUGACGGACGACCCGACGGACCGUCAGUCUAGCGACGGACCAUCGCUUCGACCGUCGCAGCCCCCGUUCAGUAUUUUUAAGUCCUUUUUAAAAGGGCCUUUUGGGUCUUUUCCCUUUUAACCCUCAGAUAUAUUCCAAAAAAACUUGAUUACCUUAUUAUCUCCUAAAAUAUCCAAAGGCUAGGGUUUCUCUCUCUAGAACAAAUCUAAAACCCUUCUCCAAGAAAUCCAAGAACUCACCAUAGAUUCUACAAAUUGAGUUGAGAUUUGAGUUCCCCAAGUUCAAAGGUUGCAAGAACUCUCUCUCAAGAGUAAGAAGAAGAGUUUAGUGCAAGCUCAUUCAUCCAAUUUCAUAAUCCAAGGUAUGUGGGGUUUUGAACAAGGGUAAUCCUUUCAUCCUUGUGCUCAAAGGCUUAUUUAAACUAUGAUUUUCUGCAAUCUAUGAGAUUUUACAUGAAUUUGAAUUAGGGUUUUUCACCCAUUUUUAUUGAUUGUAAUAUUUUGAUGUUUCCCAUGAAUUGAGAGUCUAAUGGCAUGAUUUUCACAUGUUUUCUUGAGAAAUUGCAGCUGGGUCUAUACCCCAUGAUUUUAAUCCUUGAGAAAUUAAUAGUUGAAAUAUUUGAGAUAUUAAAGUAUAUGAGUAUGUUGAGAUUUUAAGACAAAUUGCUGAAAUUUCAAGAUUUCUACAUGAGUUAUAAAUCUAUAUGCUAGCUAUUAUGCUUUUGAUGAGUUCUAACUUGAGAUUGAAUUAUGGGUUACUAAGCCCUACUUGAGACUUGAGAUUUUAUGAACUAUUGUGCUAUAGGCACCCAUGAUUUGAGUAUUCUGAGAUUNNNNNNNNNNNNNNNNNNNNNNNNNNNNNNNNNNNNNNNNNNNNNNNNNNNNNNNNNNNNNNNNNNNNNNNNNNNNNNNNNNNNNNNNNNNUAUUGAGCCAUGAGAUUAUUCUAAAGUGGAUUUUCAUGAGAUGAGCAAGAUAAACUAAAGGGAGUAGUAUUUAGCACCAAGUUAGGUAAGUUACCACGAUUUCUUACCCCAGAACUAUGUGCCACCAUAGGUUAGGCCUAAGGCUGAGAUGAUUGUUGGGUCAAAGGCUGAGAUAUUGGGCUCGAGGCUGAGAUAAGUGAUCAUUGAGUUGAGGUUAUACUUCUCAGCAAGAGUAUGACGCCUCUCCCCAACGUGAGGUCUCUUCCUUAGGAGGACAAAAUGUUGGACUCCAUGUAGCUCGCAUGGUUUAUGUCGGUUAAGAGAAACUCCCUUGAUACAAGUUAUUUUCCUAAUAGUAAAGUAGUGGAUUUGCUCCCUAAGACCAAAGUAUUUUCCCUUGAUAUAAGUAUUUUCUCUAAAACUAUGAGAUAAGUUAUCUCCCUAAACUAGAGUAUCUUUCCAUUAAGAUAGAAUGAUUUCCCAAAAGAUUGAAGUGAGAUAUUUUCCUAAAGUGAAUGAAAUGCCUUCAAGUACGUUUCAAAGUUAUAUGAUUCUGAAUUCCAAGUACUUGAGUUCAAAAGAGUUAUAAGUUCUUGAGCAUUAAAUAAGUUUUACUCUCCAUGGGACAUAUGAAUGAGUUGAAAGUAUUGUUUAAAGUUUCCUUUAGCCUAUGGGUAAUGAGAAUAAGAGAAGAUUACAGAUUUUAAAGUUAAACUAUGAUGACUCACGAAAUUUGUGUUACAUGCUCCAUGUUUAUAUUUUAUACUUAUUCAAGCCAUGUGAGUCAUUACUUAUUGCAUACAUGAUUUGAUUAAAGAGUAUUGAUGUUGUUUUCUAUAAAUGCAUGCACCCCCACAUACUCAGUACAUUCCCAAGUGUUGAUCCAUAUAUACGUCUAUGUGCUACAUUGUCUUAUAAUGUAGGUUCAGGUGCACAAUCCCAGCCUCGUCAGUGACUUUCGAGUACCUCUGUCUACAUACCUACAGUGGUGAGUCCUCAUGGUUCGAGGACCUAUCGUCAUACAUUUUAGCAUUUGAGAGACUAUGUUACUUCUCUCAGUUCAUUUCGAGUCAGUUGGGGACCUGUCCCAAUGACUCUCUAGUUCAUGGAUUAAUAGAGGCUUUAUCAGACUAGUUAUCAGAUUAUGGUUGUGUUGAGGUUUUCCGGUAUUGCUUGGUCAUUUGGACCGAGCAUUUUCUCCGUAUUUCCUUUCAUAUGAUAUGACUAUGCUAGUGUUUGAAUUAUUUCAUCUUGAAAUGAGUGUUAUUAGUAGAAAUAGGCUCAAAGGGUUAGCUUGCGGCUACUUGUAGCCUUAAGCACCGUGUGACAUUCCGGGAGGUGAUUUUGGGUCGUUACAUAUAGGAAAGCUCUAACAGCAAAAAAAAGCAAAAAUACUGAAAAUAACCUAAAGGGUCAUUAUAAUAUCUACUACUAAAAGAACUUUCGUCCGCGAAAGUAAUGGAUUAGGAUGUACUGAUGUAUGAGCCAAUGCUAACAUAUUUGAGGCUUUUAACUAAGAAUAAUUGUGAAGUCUUAAGUAACUUUUGUCACUUUUGAUUGUUUUAUAUUUGAUUUUGCAGAAGAAGCUAAUAUGUUAGAGAACCAACAAGAAUGGAAGCAAAUGAGUUAAAAUCUGAAGUAAAUAGAGGCAAAGUGUGGCUGACGAUAUUUGUGAUAAGUCUUCAUCCCAGUGAUAAGCUAUCAGCUUCAUCAUCAGCAGUAGAUAGAGAAUUGGCCUAAGUUGAAAGCUGUGAUGAUAUUUUGUGAUAAGACGUCAAGGAACUGAUAAGUCGUUAAGAUUGCCGUAAGCCUAAGGUAGAACAAGAGAGCCGAGGAAAAGCCUUGACGACAUUUGUGAUAGGUCGUCAAGGAGAUGAUAGGGCAUCACUAUUUGUCGUCAGCAUUAGGCAGCGAGUACCAAAAGCAUAAAGGAAGCUGAUAACUUUUGUGAUAAGUCGUCAGCCUCCUGAUAGGGAAUCACAAAUUGCGUCACCUAAUCCGAGGAAUUUCUAAAGUAUAUUAUUUUGUUUCCAUAAUUAGGGUGAACUAUUUAAAGCCUUGUUUAGGGUUUUCUUAAGAGUUCCAAACCUUGAGUUUUGAGACACGAUACUUUGAUAUUUUUCUCCCUCUUCUUUUGUCUUGAGAAAACAAUUACUUUAAAGAGACUAUCAUCAUUAUUUUGGGAUUUUCUUUGGUGAUUUAAUCUGAGAAUCUCUAAUUUCUAUUUAUCUUGUGGUAAGUUUAUCUUUCAAAGCAUGAAUUCAUCUAGUUGCUUUGAUUAUUACGUCAUGAGCAACUAAAUUCCUUUAACCUAAAUUAUGGGAUCUAAGGGUAGGUCUUGAUAAGGUGUUGAGUGUUCAAGAUUCGAAAGGUGGUAGGACUCCUUGAUAAUUCUGAUGUUUUAAUUAUUAUCUGUUGGUUGCAAAUGAUAGAUAACACCUUCUUUGAUUUGUGUGAGAAAGAAAUCAAAUAUAGUGGGAAGUGAAUUAUCAACAGGGACUUGGAAAUACUAAACUUCCAUUUAAUAAUCAAUGCUGUAACAAGGUUGGUUAACUUGAGGUAAAAUCUGGGCAGUGAAUAUAAAUUCCCUAAGUUUGAGAGGAUUAGGUAAUUAAAUGCUUAAGUAGGUCGAGAGACAUUUAAGCAUAACUUCGGUAAAGAUAACUUGCUGUCCUACCUACCGUGAGAAUCUUGAACCACUAGUACCAUCUGUCAAGUACCAAAAUCCCUAGUGAAUAAAAUUCUAUUUUUUCAUAGACUCUUGAUUACAAACAUUUAAACUAAAGUGACCAACAAUUACUUGUUAACUAAAACCCCCCUUUUUUGGAAAUAUCCAACUAUUAGUUGAUUAAAUUGCAAAUGACUUACGUUCACACCAUAUUCCCUAUGGGAUUCAACCCCAACCUAGUUGGGUUUUAUAUUGACAACGAUUUCUUACAUUUUCGUUGAGAGGUGUAGUUUGAGCGUUAUAAAAAAUAGUGCCGUUACUGGGGAAUACGAUUGAAAACUAAAGUUUAUGUGCGCUAAUUGACUGUUAGUCAAGUUUUUUAGUUUUAUGUUUAUUUGUUGUUUUUGUUUAUUUACAGGAUCUUUAUAGUGUAUGCCAAGAACUAGAAGUUCCAAAGAACCGUUAUUACCACCUAAUCCGGAACCACAACGAAUUGGAAGAAUGGCUGAACAGCAAGAGGCUGAUAGAUUGGCAGCCAUAGCUAGAGCUCAGGUGAAUAUGCAAAAUGUUGGGCAACAAGCAUGACAUCCAAAUCUUGAAGAAGAAGAUUUAGGAGACGAGGAGUUGCUGAAUCCUGGUAACCCAAGGCGUGCAGAGUAAAUAGCUGCACUAGUACGACAUAAUGUUAAUUGGAAUCGUUCUUUUUGAGAAAGGAAAGAGUACCAGCUGGUCCAGUAUGAUCUCAAUGAUGAUGAUGAUGGAAUGGACGGAGCAGGUGCAACGGGUGUAAUUAUUCCUCCACCGUUGGCACCUGGGGUAAAAUUCAACAUUACGAGUACUAUGAUUCAACUCCUAAAUCUGAAGGGGUUGAUUGGUGGCCUUCCUGGGGAUGACCUGAACUUGUAUCUGGUGAAUUUUGUCACCAUCUGCAAAUCUUUUGAUAACCGAAGAGUGGAUAAAAUUCUAUCGGGUUGAGAUUGUUUCCGUUGUCUCUGUCUGGGGAGGCAACAUAAUGGCUAAAUAAACUGACACCCGAUUUAAUAACUAACUGGAGACAGUUGAAAGGAGCUUUCCUAGAAAAGUUCUUUCUGCCAUCCAGGAGGGUACAGUUGAGGAACGAGAUCAACAACUUUAGGCAUCUCCCGACUGAAGCCUUGUAUGAAACCAAGAAAAGAUUCAAGAAGACGCUGCACAGUGUCUGAACCAGAACAUGACGGACAUACAUUUGAUGGAGACUUUGUACAGGGCUCUUAACUCCGUUACAAAGCCAAUUGUAGACAAUGCUGGUGGUGGUUCGUUAGUUGAUCUUACAUUCCCAGAGGCUUUAGAGAUGCUGGACAGAAUGACCAAACAGAGUAGGGCAUGGCAUACCAGAGACUAUGUGGUGGCCAGCCCUACUGCUUCUUUAGGUAUUACUAUAGAACAACGCAAAAGAGAAGAGGAGAGUGACCAAGACAUGACUUACCUUAAAACACAGAUGGAAUUACUAAUCAAGCACUUGCUAUCAGGAAAGAUUGAAAAGGUGAAAGCUGUGGGAUCUUAGGAUAGAAGUGAGGCUGAUACAGAUGAAGAGGCUAACUAUGUUAAUAAUCAGGGGGUUUUCGAGGCAAUAGCCAAGGGAAUCAAAGUCGGACUUACUAUGAUAAGCCUAGUUAUAAAGAUAGGGAGCAAGGAAAUUGGAGGAAUAACAAUGACUGGAGCGGGCUAUACGUUCCUCCUGGAAAUUAUGAGGCUGCUUUAACAAGUUCUGAAAAGAUGUCCAUGGAGGACAUGAUGGCUAAGUUGUUGAAGGGAGUAAAGGCUACCAACUCUGGUGUGACCAUCAUAAAGGCCAAUCUGACAUCCACCAGUCAGUUGGUGCACUCACACUCCACCACAAUCAAACAAUCGAAGCAGCAGAUGAGCCAACUCUCUGCGGCAUUCAACCAGAGGAAGAGUGGAACGUUACCAAGUGAUACGGUCCCAAAUCUGCGAAAUGAUGGCUCAUGCAUAGCUAUUACCACUAAAAGUGGUAAGAUAUUACCUGGCCCUUCUGUGGGCAAACCUUUAGUUGAUAAGGUAAUUGAUGUUGAACCGGAAGAAAGUAGUCCAGUGGAGUCUGAGAAGCUGGAUAAUUCUGAUGAUGUUCUAGAAAAAGGAAAAGAGAAGGAGAAGGAGGUAGUGUUGAAAACUAUCCUAAGACCACCACCUCCCUUUCCUCAACGAUUGAAGAAGAAAACUGAUGGUGCAAAAUUCAGCAAAUUCAUGGCAAUGCUCAAGCAAUUAACAAUAAAUGUGCCUUUGGUUGAGUCACUUGAGCAAAUACCAGGAUACAUGAAGUUCAUGAAAGACCUUGUGACUAAGAAAUGGAAGGUUAGCCAUGAGCCAGAGGACAAUCUCUUUCAUUGUGGCGCUAUCUCUACAAGGUUUUUAGUGCAGAAAAAGGCAGAUCCGGGAGUGUUUACCAUCCCGUGUACUAUUGGGUCCUUAAAUUUCACAACAACACUAUGCAAUUUUUGAGCCAGUAUAAACCUAAUGCCACUCUUUAUGUAUAAAAAACUAGGUUUGGGGGACCCUGCCUCGAUGAACAUGCGAUUGGUGAUGGUAGAUAGGUCUGUAAAACGGCCAGUGGGUAUAUUACACGAUGUAUUGGUAAAGGUGGCCGACUUCAUUCUUCCUGCUAAUUUUGUAGUCCUGGACUGUGAGGUGGACUUCAAAGUGCCAUUAUUUUGGGUAGAACAUUCUUUGCAACUGGGAGAGUGAUAGUGGAUAUAGAACUGAAUGAGCUAAAGUUCAGGUUCAAUGACAAGGAAGCAAGAUUCAAAAUACACUCAUCCAUGACACCGGUAAAAGAGAUAAAUAUUUUAUCAAUCGUGGACGUAUUCUGAGUAGUCAAGAUAACCAAGUCGUGCCACGACAGUAAAUUAGGCGCUAUUUGGAGGCAACCCAAAAAUUUUAUAUUCCAGCAAAUUUUUUAUUUUUGUAGUUAUGUUCUAGUUCAAAGAAGGUGGAAUCGAUAUAUCCAGCCAAGUGCUCCUGACGACAUUUUUGACGGGCUGUUAUAAUUGUGAUAAGCCAUCAGCUUUGUCGUCAAAAACAACAGCUCUGAGGCAAUUUCGGUUAAGGCUGAUGACAUUUCUGAUAAGCUAUCAAAAUUGUGACGACUUAUCAGAAAUGUCAUCACAAAAAGCUCAACAUUAGCUGAAACUUUGGGCCAAAUUAAAAAGACCUGAUCCGGCCUACAACUUGGCCUUUCCACCUUCCCGCUUAGUUUUUAUUUUCUUUAAGUUAUUCUCUUUCCAUCUUUGGUUUAUUUUCUUCCCUUUUCAAAGUCUCUCCAGCUAAAACAAAAGAAACUUUCCUUGUAUGCAUGGGUUUGCAAUCAAAAUCAAGAACCUCUCUUUAUUUCCUUUUGCUCGUGUAACCACAUUGAAGGCUCCCAUCAGGUAUGCUCGAAACCUAGCCUUACUUUUCAAGUGGUAAGUUAUAAAUGAUGAAAACCCAAGUUCCUAAGAAGCUUGAACCAAGUUCAGCUUGCAAAAAUGGCUAAAAAUCAGAACUAGGGUUUGCUGUGCAAGAUUAAGGUUUAAAAGUUCAGCUCGAAAACAAAAAUUGAGUGGAUUUUAAGAAAAAAAUGGGACCAAAAAUUGAGUUAAAAUCAAGUUGGGGUUCUGUUUAUAGCUGAUGACAUUCGUGAUAAGCUAUCACAACUGUGACGGCUUGUCAAAAAUAUCGUCAGAAGUCGAUAAGAAUUUUGUGGGUUCUGUUUAGGGCUGACAACAUUCAUGAUAAGCUAUCACAGCUGUGACGGCUUAUCAGAAAUGUCGUCACACCUGGGACCUGAAGUAUUACUAAACCCUUUCAAGGGGUGUGGAAUUUCAAUGAUCAAUGUGUUUGUGUUUAUACUCUUGAGGGUCAACUAAUGGUUUUUGUCUUGCUACAGUUCUUGAAAUGGUACCCAAUGGAAAGAACUUAAAAUCCAAAAAGAAAGUGACCAAGGGAAGUGUACCUCGGAGACUCUUUAAUGAAGAGUUUGAUUAUGAAGAGGAAGAGCCUCUACUCAAGAAGCAAAAGAAAAACAAAAGCACUAAAAAGACUCCAUCAUCCCCCACAAGUAGAGGUGGAAGAGAGUGAAGAAAGUAACACUAAGCUAACAACUUCUGAGCAGACGGUCUCUGAGCAAUAAGAGUCUAACCAUGCUGAAUCUGAAGAGCACGAAUCAGAUAAUCCUGAUUCUGAGGGGCAUGAGUCUGAGGGACCAUCAACUGAGUUCUCUUCUUCUGCUGAGCCACAAGAUGAUGAAGACUCUCUGAUUUAGGAAACUAUGGUCAAAUGCAAGAAUCCUGAAGUUCGAGAUGGCACUAGAUGGCUGAUUCCCAAAGCUCAAAAAAUCUUCUUGAUGGGCUUCACAAAACCAACAGAAGAGCUGUCAAGAGGCCAAUCUUUGAGGAGAAGAGAAUCAUCACUAAGGGGUUGAGCAGGUACCCAGAGGUGGAGUAGAAAUUUCAUGGAUAUGAUUCGGUAUGGACUACACGAGGAGGAAAUUCAUUUUUCCCUACACUAGUUAGGGAGUUCUAUGCAAACUACCAAGCUUACUUGGAAAACAUGUCUAGAUAAGGAGAGAAAGCUUCUGACCAACCUUUGUUUGAUAAAGUUUUGGUACGGGGUAUAAUGGUCGAUAUUUCUGAAGAAAUAAUCAAUAGGUUCUUUCAUGGCCCGAACUUCACUCCUCAGGCUACUUCACCUACUUUCUAUGCCCGGUUGAAGCAUCGGAAAAAUCAGCGAAAUUGGUUGGUUAGCUACACUCAUAGCUGAUGGAGAACUGGAGUGGCUAACAAAUCUGAGUGAAAGGAUCUUUAAGGCUUCCUUGACUUUAGAGGUAAGAUUUUGGUAGGGUAUUGUAGGUACGUGGUUGAUGCCCAUAGAUGGUGAUAAUAUCCUCAGGGUGAUAGAGCAAUAUUAGUCCCAAGUUUUAUGGCUAACCUCGAAUUAAAUUUUGGAGAGAUUAUCACCGAGGAGAUAAAAAUUUGAGUCUCGAGGUAUAAUACAGUAUAUCCCUUCCCUUGUUUAAUUACAAGGUUGUGUAGGUCAGCAAAUAUGUCGAAGAUUGUAGGGUUAGAAGAAGAACUCUUUGCAAAGAAGACCCACAAUGCGAUCCGAAAUGAGGAAAAUCAGCCAAGGCUAAUGCUUGACAGGGGCGCAGAGAUUCCAACUGAUCCACUAGUUACAGGUACUAGUUCAGCACUUAAUGCAGAGGUGCCUGAUUCUGAAGCUGUACCUCCAACAUCUGCAAUAAUGAAAGAAUCAUCAGUACCUAAAAUUGAGACAAUUCCUCCAGCUGCAGUGCCUAUAACAGAAUUUGUCUUCAACCCUAUGAAGUUCAGAAGAGUAGAAAAGUAGUCCAAGUGGUGCGAAGCUUAUCUUAAACUCUUUACCAAGCAAUUUACAGCUGCAGUUGACAAAAGAGUUAAGGCUGCACUUGAGCCUUACAAGGCUUUGCUGAGCCAGAUUGAUGAAUUGGAGAACUACUUCAAUGCACAGCCGAGAGAGAGGUCAGUUCCAGAGAUGUUAUUAUUCAGAUCAGACCUAGACAAAGUAAGGAUGGAGGUUGGAAAGCUACAGUAGCACCACUUUAUGGUGUCAAUAGAUCCAAUAGCUGAGAAGGUUGAGGGAGAAAUCCUGAUACUUAAUCUCAAGGAGGAGCUAGUGAAGAAAAAGAAGAAAAAAGGUGAGAAGAAAGGAAAAGGAAAGAGAGAGAGGCCCGAUAAUAAUAAAAAAAGAAAAGCAGAAAAGAGGGCAAGAAAAAAGUCUGAGAAGGAGGAGAUGAAAAAGGUGAGAAUUGAGUCCUUAGUGGACAAAGAGAGAUGGGAGACAACCAUCCGAGCGAGAGCUGCAGGUGCCUCUACUAGUAGGCCUUCAGAGACUAAUAGACCAACUGCACCAGAACAGAGAGAGGCUUCUAAUGGAUAUGUGGCACCAGGGUCAGGAACCCAUGACCCCCGGGAUUAAUCUAUUCCAGGUAUACUCUAACCCUUACUUUAAAUUUUCUUUGAUUUUAAGUUGAGGGUGUAGGGUAAAGUUGUUGUUGUAAAAUUUUGUAGUCAACUAGGAGAAAUACUUGUACUUGAGGCAGUUGAAUUGUUUUUGUGAUUUUUGUCCACCUCUUCAAGUGGUCUUCUACUUUAAACUGAGUGAUUUACAUUUAAGUGUGACCACCGUGCAUCUUUGUAUGUUAUUAGUUCUAGUAACAUAAUAAUCAUUGCUAAACAGUUGUACGAACUGAAUGAGUAGUCGAGUGUGAUAUACCUAUGCGCCAAGUGUGUGUGUGAAAUGUUACUCGGUUCCCUCUGUAUGCUGAAGCCAGAACUUGCCCUGUUAGUCUUACCUAGGCUGAAGGAUAGAGGUUAGGAAAGGAUCAUAGGCCAUCUUAAUAUUAGCUCACUUUAGCCUAAAUGACCUUCCCUAUGUGUAUCAUAUCCCUUGAUCCCUGUUUUGAGCCUAAUUAGCCUAUUUCUUUGUAUGACACUUGUCACCUUCUAAUUUGUUUUAUCCCUAGUCCUCCUUGGACACUGUGCACCUUGACUUAGGCAAAUGGCCUAAGUUGAGGGUGGCUAUUAUAGGAGUACGUAAUAUAGAAUGAGUAUGAAGAAAGGUAGCAUAAAAGAAAAGAAUAAAAAGCUGGGUGCAGAAGAAAGAGCAAGAAAAAAAAUAUGAAAAAGAAUAAGUAAUUGAGAAAAGACUGCACCCAUCCUAAAUAAUGGUUAUCAAGAAAAGAGAAGAGUGGAAAAGGCUAAUGAGUGAAACCUCAAAAAGCUAGUGUAGUGUCAAGGAGGCUUAGUCACUUUAAAUACCAUCGAAUAUCAUACCAGGCCCUAGCCUAUAUUACAAGCCUAAAAGAAGUCCUAUAGUGAUCCUAGCUGACCUAUCUGAAGACCUGGGUAAUGAAAAUAAGGGCAAGCCUAUGGUACUUGGCAUACACUGAUUGGAACUUCAUUCUAAGAGUGAGUGUUUUGAUUGUCCCCAUGGUUACAUAUAUAAUUCUUGAUAUGAGAUGAGGCGGAUUUCUUUGUUGUGAGGGCACACUGGUUAAAUUGCUAGUUACUAACUUAUUCGGGUAGUGUAAUACUGGUCUAUGCAUGGUUGUUAUAGCUGAAUUGAUUCCAUAUCUUGAUUCCUGUGUGUUGCAUUGGUGUUUUUCUUUAUACUUAAAUUGACUGACUUUGGAGAUGGUGAAAGUGUUUUGAGAUGAUAUGGAUGAUUGACUGCCAAAUGUGCUUUGUAUUCUCUUAGUUGUGCUGAGUUGCUUGAGGACAAGCAAUUGUUUUAAGUUGAGGGUAUUGAUGUGUGAGCUAAUGCUAACACAUUUGAGGCUUUUAACUAAGAAUAAUUUCAAAGUCUUAAGCAACUUUUGUCGAUUUUGAUUGUUUUAUGUUUGAUUUUGCAGAAGAAGCUAAUAUGUUAGAGAACCAACAAGAAUGGAAGCAAAUAAGCUGAAAUCUGAAGUAAAUAGAGGCAAAGUGUGGCUGACGACAUUUGUGAUAAUUCAUUAGCCCUGUGAUAAUCUAUCAGCUUUAUCAUCAGUAGUAGACAGAGAAUUGGCCUAAGUUGAAAGCUGUGACGAUAUUUAGUGAUAAGACGUCAAGGAGCUGAUAAGUCGUUAAGAUUGCCAUCAGCCUAAGGUAGAACAUGAGAGCUAAGAAAAAGCCUUGACGACAUUUGUGAUAGGUCGUCAAGGAGCUGAUAGGACAUCACCGUUUGUUGUCAGCAUUAGGCAGCGACUACCAAAAGCAUAAAGGAAGCUGACGAUAUUUGUGAUAAUUCGUCAGCCUCCUGAUAGUCUAUCAUAAAUGACGUCACCUAAUCCGAGGAAUUUCUAAAUUUUAUUAUUUUGUUUCCAUAAUUAGGGUGAACUAUUUAAAGCCUUGUUUAGGGUUUUCUUAAGUGUUCCGAACCUUGAGUUUGAACAUAAAACUUUGAUAUUUUUCUCCCUUUUCUUUUGGCUUGAGAAAACAAUUACUUUAAAGAGACUAUUAUCAUUAUUUUGGGAUUUUCUUUGGUGAUUUAAUCUGAGAAUCUCUAGUUUCUAUUCAUCUUGUGGUAAGUUUAUCUUUCAAAGCAUGAAUUCUUCUAGUUGCUUCGAUUAUUACGUCAUGAGCAGCUAAAUUUCUUUAACCUAAAUUAUGGGAUCUAGGGGUAGGUCUUGAUAAGGUGCUGAGUGUUCAAGAUUCGAAAAGUGGUAGGAUUCCUUGAUAAUUCUGAUGUUUUAAUUAUUAUCUGUUGGUUGCAAACGAUAGAUAACACCUGCUUUGAUUUUCUUGAGAAAGAAAUCAAAUAUAGUGGGAAGUGAAUUAUCAAUAGGGACUUGAAAAUACUAAACUUCAGUUUAAUAAUCAGCACUAUAACAAGGUUGGUUAACCUGAGGUAAAAUCUGGGCAGUGAAUAUAAAUACCCUAAGUCCGAGAGGAUUAGGUAAUUAAAUGCUUAAGUAGGUCGAGAGAUAUUUAAGCAUAACUUUGAUAGAGAUAACUUGUUGUCCUACCUACCGUGAGAAUCUUGAACCACCAGUAGCAUCUGUCAAGUACCAAAAUCCCUAGUGAACAUAAUUCUAUUUCUUCAUAGACUCUUGAUUACAAACAUUUAAACUAAAGUGAACAACAAUUAAUUUUAACUAAAACCCCCCUUUUUUUGGAAAUAUCCAACUAUCAGCUGAUUAAAUCGCAAACGACUUACGUUCACACCAUAUUCCCUGUGGGAUUCGACCCCAACCUAGUUAGGUUUUAUAUUGACAAUGAUCGCUUACAUUCUCGUUGAGAGGUGUAGUUUGAGCGUUAUCAUGUACCUGAAGUCUUGAACAGGUGAGGAUACUGGGUACACAUCUCGCUCUCAAUCUCCCAAGUAGCCUCCUCUACUAGGCCUUAACUACAGAAAUCUCCCUACUGCGUAUCCGCCUAACAUCACUAGACAAAAUAAGCACAGGUUUGCCCAUGAAGGUCAAUCACUCAUCCAACUAGACUGAGUCCCAUCUACGUACAUGAGAUGGAUCAAGAAUGUAUUGCUGCUGUCGCACCUUAUUUAUAACCGGUCAAAAUACCACACAACAUGUUGUCGCUGUUAUGACUCUUGAAUUUUAAAAAUUCAUUUUUGGAGUUGCCACCUAAAUUUUUUAGGAAAAUUUGGAAAAAACCAUUUUUACCUAAAAAAAUAAUUGUUUUGGUCUUUCGAAAAAAUUUUGGGAUUCUGAGUAAGGGUUUUGGUUACUCAAGGGGGAGGUGUUAGGAACCCCUCAAAGUCUAUCCAAAGAUAGUCCUUAGACUCAGUUUAGGAAAAUAUAUGAAGAAUAUUUGCUUCGAUAUUUGCUAAAAUUGUGAUAUGAAAACCUUUAUUAUUAUUUUUUAAUCGUUAUUUUUUUUUAUAAAAGGGAGCUUAAGGUACACAAAAUGGUACGCUACCACAUACAAGAAAGUAACAUAAUUAUUGCUGAAUAUAUGUAUGAAUUAUUUUGUAAACAUGGGAAAGAGNNNNNNNNNNNNNNNNNNNNNNNUAGUGUUUUCAUUGUAAUAAUAUAAAGGUACAAAGCUUUAUGAUUUUGUAAAAAAUAUGCUUCAAAUGUAUAAAAUUGAAUAAAAUUCAUUAUAGAAUGAAGAAGGUAUAUAUUUAAAGUAUGAAAGAAUUUGUUUAAUGUAAACAUAAAUACAUGAGUAUUUAUAAAUAUACAAAAAUAUUUUUUCUUAAAAUAAAUCAUUUGUCUUGCGAAAUUCAAAUAGAUUUAGAUUGAGACUAAGUGAAAAUAAAUAUAACAGUAAAGCACAUAGGCAUAAUAAGUUUGAAAUAAUCCAAUGAUAAUGAAAAAAAAGGAACAAUGAUGAUGAUGAUGAUGAUGAUGAUCGUGGUAAAAAAAGUUAUUAUAAUAGUAAUGAACAUAAUGAAAUAUACAUGGUACGUAGUAGCGGAAGAAUGUAUAUACCUUGCAUUUCUAACCUUUGAGAUCUAAAAAAAUGUGAUGUAAAGCAUUGACAUUAUUUAUUGAAAACAAAUUAAAAUUAGCAGGCGACCCUUUAAGAAAUCUGAAAUUUUUAGGAAAAUUUUUCUCCCCCUGAAUUAGUGUUUGAAAUUUUAUUUUUUAUUCAUUUAUUUAUUUUUAGGAAAAAUGUAGAGGUUGCUACAUUAAUUUUAUUUAAAAUAUUUUGAGGCAAAAGCUAUUUUCAAAAGAAUUAGCCUAGCAUUGAAAUUAUAAAAUUUAUAUCUUUUACGAGUUAAUUAAUUGUGUUUUAAUUGCGAAAGUCACGACAUUAAGCUAUUUCUAAAAGGAUCGAGAAAUAACAAGACAAACGUAAAUCAAUAAUCAGAUAAAGCCAUUUUAAAAAUUUAAUAUAGAUAAGAGUUAGUUAUCAUUCUAAAGAAAAACUCAACAUGAUAAAUGUAAAUCAAACUGAAGGAGGAUAAAGAAUACUAGACCCCAUUUAGGAGUUUGGGCUUCUAAUCUACGAGAAUCCGAUGUUCUGCGAUCCUAGUAGCGGUUGACUUGAUAUUUGGAUCAAAGUGAGUUUCGAUUAAAACUUUCAUUCUCGAGAUUACAUGAAACAAAAAUAUAAAAAUAAAAAUUAGUAGCUAAUCAAAAUAACAAAAUAAUAUAAAUUGCCGAUUAUGAAGAAACACAAACUCAUGAAUACAUUUCACAUAAGAACCGGGUAAGUGCUUAAGUUAAGCUAGUAUUCCAAACAAAUUAUCCGUGGAAGACUUUGCAUAUUAAUAGAACCUUGUCACUAACCUUCAUCGCCACACCAAGAGUAAUAGUGAUAGCAAAUUUCCUAAGAUCCAAAUGACACUUCAAGGGAUAAUUUAAUUUUCUCAAUGCAUAUCAAAGGGCUCAAAUGAUCGGGAAAACAUUGAUUUCUUUAGACUUUUUUUGCUAUCCCUUAGAGAUGGUUAAGAUACUUAUUAUUCCCAAAACAUGAAACUCCUACCACAAAGUGGUCACUUAACCACCAAAUUUCAUUAUAAGCUUAACAAAUCCACCAAAUUUCAUUUAGAGUGACGAAUAGAGUUAGCCACGAACGCUAGAAAUCUAGCUAGGAACAUGAAACCCAACACAUCCAAAAUGAGGUAAUUGAUAAUAAUUUAUGAAGGAAAUCUUCUUAUGUAUGAAUUUUUUUUAAAAAAGAAACCCAAAUAAGUCAAGAGGGAUGGAAUUAAGAGAAAAUAAAUGAAUAAGUAAACCAACAUUUAAGCUUUGGAAUGCCCAUGACAUGAUCAAACGACUAUAGAGAAUUAAUAUAAACGUUUUAAUCCUCUGGAAAUUAACUAAAGGAACCACGACCAAAUAUUAAAAUUGGGCAAUUUGACAAAAUUGUACCCACAUUGACAACUUAAAAAAAACCUGCAUGGUGUUAACCAACUCUCUAAUGUUCACAAUGAAAAGCGACUUUAUUAAACUAACCCAAGCAUAUAAAUGCACGUAAGACCCCCAAACUGAUUGGUUUAAGGAAAUCUUGCGUUGACUCUUUAUAAACAACUAUCAAAAGUUUGGCACCUUAUAUGAAAGAACAUCCAAACAAUAAUAAUAACGUGAUGACUUUAAACUCAAUUUACCAAGAUAAAAAAAAGGCUAAGAUGACUAUUAAUUCCAGAAAAGUUGCAAACAUUGAGUGAUCACAUAUUUGUCAAAAAAAAAAUUCCUUACCACUGGUUAGCUUAUAGAAAAUACAAGACUAAGAGAAUAGUUCUUGCUCCCUUUAUUUUUGGCUAACCUCAAGAGUCCAAUUUUAAAUGAAAUAAAAUUUAAAAUGAUGAUACCAUUCACCAAAAACAAAGAUGACCCUAGAUGAUAGACAUAAACAUCUUGAGGCACGUAGAGAGUGUGAUCACUGUUUUACGGGAUUACAUUCAUAAAAAUGGUAACACAUUAUCCCAAAUAUAAUUUAUACUUUCCAAGAGAAUAUUCAAAUGCACUGCACAAUUCUCAUGAGUUGAAAUGAUAAAAGAAGAGUAAAAUGAUAAAAGUAGAGGAAAACAAAGGGUAUGGACAUAUCCCUGUGUAGACUUCAAGAUAAAAGCAUGAUUUCUGAAAGCAAAGAGAGGGACACACAUAUUCUCGAAAUCAUAAUAAAUAGAAAAGGCGUGAGGAGGGUAAAAAUAAAGUGACUAAUUUUAAGUAUCUCACAUAGUUUGAACAAAAAAAACUACAAUCGUAGAAACGAGAAUUUAAGACGAACCCAGAUUCUUUAAACUCACAAUAGGUAAUAAAACCAAUGUAUGUUUGAAACUGAAACAAGUCCCUUCCUCACAUAAUUAUAGGCUUGUAUAUUUGUGAAAUAAUUUUUCGGAGCACAAAGUUAUAUUCAGGAUAAAAUUCAAAAAAAACCAUAGCCACCAACAGUCCUAAAACAAAAUAAAUACGCAAAAGAUUCCAAUUAUUAUAGAUAGAUACCCACUAUGAGAAAUUAGUAGAGUUAAGAUCCAAAAAGACAUAGUCUGGGCAUAUAUAGUCUUUCCGGGGAAUUCAUUUUUUAUGUCGUUUAACUGCACAGUAAACUAGGUGGAUUGAACUAUCCUUGUUUUACAGAGUUUAGAAUGUUUACACAGACAUGAAUAAAAAUAAUUAAGUAAACGAAUUCAUGAACAAAAAGAUUGAUAUCUUUUGAAACGGAAUUGAAGAUAUAAUCACUUUUACUGACUUUAAUGGUGAACACAUUUUAUAGUCUGAAAAUGUGGUUGUGUUAGGGUUUUUGCCUGUUUUUCUUACUAAAAUUAAGUUUUACUUUUUUUUGGAAGGAAAAUAAAAGUAAUCAUAAUUACUUUUAUUUUUUCUAAAAGGAAAUUAUAAAUUUUUUUCAUAUUUAGCUAACCUCUUUCUUGGAGGAAAGGUUUGAAAACUCUAUAAAUAAAAGCCCUUCUCAUAUCAUAACACAAUAACAUUCAUAAUGUAGUCUUUAAAGAGUUUGUUGAGGGGGAGAUUUUCUCCCCAUAGGUAUUAUAUUUUUCCAAUAUUAAUUUUAAAUAUGUAGAUCGUUUAACCAAAUCAUAUUUAUAAUAUGUUUUCAGUACGUUUUCUUUGUCAUCUGAAUUAUCGUCCUUAUGGUUUGCAAACUUUAAGCUUCCUAAUGACGCCCUCUCAAUUUCAAACCCAACAAGUGGUAUUAGAGCCUAUGGUUCAAAUUAAGGACAUGUUGAGAUUAAAGUUGCAACCAAUUUAACGACAGUGAAGUUAUUUUGUCAAAAUAAAACUACAUGUAGAUUCUAUUAUAUUGUUGUAUGAAAAGGGGUAUUCUAUUUAUAGAGGACAAAAAACCUUUUCUUCAAGAAAGAGGUUUGCCAAAUAUGAAAAGAAUCAUAUUUUCCUUUGAAGAAAAGUAAAAGUAAUUAUGGUAUUACUUUUAUUUUCUUUUCAUGAAAAAUAAAACUUAAAUUUGGUACGAAAAUUAGGGAAAAACCCUAAUAAAUCUUCCAUUUUUGGCUUGAUUUUCUUCACUUAUCCGCCUUCUUCACAUGAUCUUCGUAUAUCACUGCUUCUUACCAUGAUUAAAAGUUGACAUGGAUCCCUAUGCAUUAAAAGUUAAAAGCAUGGGUUAGCACUAUUGAAGCCCUAUGUUAUAAGUAAACAGGGUUAAAAGUAGAGCCUUGUGCAUUGAAAGUAAGUACUGGUUAAAAGUGAAACUCAUGUAUUAAAAGUAUAUGUACAAGUUGAAAGGAGCCCAAACAUUAAAAAUAAGCAGGAGUUGAAAAUUGGAGCCCAUAAGCAUGGGUUGAAAAUAGAUUUUGAUUUUAAAGAUGAAAUAGCAACAGGAUUGUUGAAAACUUAUUUGAAACUUUUCUCCAGAUAUAGCUAGACAAAGAUCUUCAUUAUCAUUAUAUUGGUUGCAACUUUGAUCAGCAUGUCCUCAGUCUGAACCAUCGGACCAUUGAAUCAUAGGCUAUGAUACUAUAAUACCCGUGUUUUUUCUUAGCUUAAAAAUCAUCUCAAGGAUGUUAGAACUUUCUUUGAAAUAAUAAUUCAUUCUUAUACAUGUGGUACUUCCAUAAUUUUCACUUCCUAUCACAUGGGAAAUUGAAUAAGAUUUCCAUCGUUAUAUAAUUCGUCCAAAUUCGACACCCGGGGAAGAGUUAGAGCCUUUUUAGUAAUACAGUAUUUGACCUGAGCCUUCAGCGCGUCGCGGAGAGAGCUCAAUGGCAAUUGUCAAAUUCCAGUGUUGCUCCAUGAUACUGGCAUGUCGUGCCAAACUUCCAGGUCAUAGAUAAGGUGGUAACGCGAUAACUCUGCGUCGCGCCACCGUACAGUUUCCCAUUUGUCAAUUUGCAGUGACACGAUGCGAUAACGCUGCGUCGCGCCAAGGGCCCAAUUCGAAAAAUUUUACUGAAAAUUAAAUUACGUGUCUAGGGUUAAAAGGGUCAAUUUUCCCCCUACAUAAGCUUCCAAACACGGGAUUUAGCCCUUAUUCAUCUAAAAUAUUGAUGUUUUUCUCAAAUACUCUCAAGAACUCAAGCUAGGAUUUUCAUAGAACUUCUAAUUUCAAGAAGGUUUCACCAUCAAUCUUCACGAAAUCACGAUCUAAGGUAUGCAUAGUGUUCAUUCAUGGACUCCUUUUGUCCAUGAAGUCCAAGAGUCCUUUUUAACUACAAGUUAUGGAUUUUCUUCAUAUUUUCAUACUUAGUAUGUUCUCUUUUAUGUUGGUAAAUGAGGAAUUGAUUUCUAUUCCAUGAUUUGAUGAUAAAUUCCAUGUAGGUUGAUUAGUAUAGAUAAAGAUUUACGAAAUCUAAUGACUAAAACCUUGUAUGAUGAAAUUGGAAUUGAACCAUGAUGUUUAGUUGCUAUACCAUGAUGUUUACAUGUACUAUGCCUGUCAUAUGUUUGAUAAAAUGCCUAGAUGAAGGAAAUUUUCCUAAAUAGCAUGAUAUCAUGAAAAUCCCCAUAAAUGUACAAGCUUGUACCUAUUAGGCAUUGGAUGAAAUGCUUCAAUAAACGUAUUGUGGUGAUUAUCAUGUAUUCAAGAAUAUCAAGUCAUGUCAAUUUCCUUCUAUCGAGUCCUGAGGGUACUUGUACCCGAAAUAUUGCUGUGUGCCUAGAGCCAUAUUAUGUUUUUCACGAUAUUCUUAGUUAAGCUAUGAACUCUUAGACUUCGGAUAGUCUUAUGACUCAGGAAAAAUCUCCAUGAUCUCAUGAAUCAGUCAGUUGUCAGAUAUCAGUAGUAUUCCGUUAGCCACAAAAAUUUAGUAACUCAGUCCAUGCUCAUUUUAGUUAAGUAAAUCAUAUUCAGUGUCCAUUCAUAUAGGAGUAGGAAUUAACACCGAGUGAACCCAAGGAUGGGGACUCACCUGUUAUACGAGGGUGUGAUUCCUAGAAGCAAUCCUUGCAUUUCAAAACUAUGUAGCCAGCAUAGGUUGAGACAUCGUAGCCUGCUAUAUGAGGGUCGAUGAGGUGGCUUAAAUUGUUAUAUGAGGGUUCCCACCGUUCUCACUAGAUUUACCUAUUAUAUGAGGGUUACUUACAUGUUGUCCUUACCAGUGGCCCGGUAUUAACACCCUUCCAAUCAGGGCAUAGAUUGGACCCCAGCUCAGCUAUUAUAGCACCUUUGGGGUAUGUCGGUUAGAUACUACUUCCCAUAAUUUCAUGUUAUAGAUUUAGGACUAUCAGAUAUAGUCAAUCAAUCUGAGUAAUAGAACUCAGAUAGUUCUUCAGAUUUCAGGACUGUUAGAUACAGUCAACUCAGAUAUAGUACAAAACUCAAAUAGUUUCAUCAGAUUUAGGACUCUCAGCUAAAGUCACCCAUGUUAUCAGUAUUAUUCAGAUAUACUCCUUCAUAUUAUCAGUCAUAUCAGUUACUAACAUGUCACGUUAUCAGUAUACAGACUCAAAAAUCAUAAAAUCAUGUUGUCAGUUACAAUUACAUAUUUAUGCAUGUAUUCUCACGUUCAUGUUAGACAGUCAGUUAGCAUUAUUCAUGCAUGUGAACCAUCACAUAUAGAGUACCUCACAUGUAUACUCAGUAUAUUUCAUUGUACUGACGCAUUUGCGCUAUGGUGCUUUCUUUUUAUAUUACACCAUAGGUUCAGAGACACGAGUUCCAGAUCAGCAGUAGAUUCUAGUUUCAGCGGUCAGAGUAGAAGUGAGUCCUCAUCCUUUGAGGACAUAAUAAUUUUCUAUUAUUUCAUUGAUUAGCUUAUUAAUUGGAGUUAGUUGGGGACAUGUCCCAUCAACUCCUUAUUUAGAUUCUUCAGACAGUAGAGACUUUUAGACUAUAUGCAGACUUUAGUUUUGUUUUUGGUAUUCUAUUACCCCGCACAGAUGUUACGUUAUUCAGUUAUGUUCAUGAUCAAACCUUAUGGCCUUUCAGUGCAUGUUUCUGCAUUAUUAUGUUAUCUUAUGCAGUAUACGGGUACAAAUAUCGGUCAUGGGUUAGCUUGUGGUCCUUCAGGGUCAUGAGCAUUGUGUAGCAUUUUGGUUUAGUAAAUCGGGUUAUUACAAACUUGGUAUCAGAGACUAAGGUUCAAUAGAGUCCUAAGAAGUCUAAAAGCCGUAUCUAGUAGAGUCUUGUACAUGGGUGUGUUACGUGCCAUAUUUAUGUGUAAGAGGUUAUGAGAUAUGUUAAGAAUAGUUUCCCUUCUUUCAGUAUUCAUGUCGUGCCUGUGAGUAUAAUCCCAAGUCAGUCUCUCAGUCUAAUCCAUUUCUCCCUUUCUUCUACAGAACAUGCCUCCUAAAAAAAGAAAUGGAAAUCAGUCAGCCUCUCAGCCCAAAGAACCUUUAGGCGAUCAUGUUUCUCAUGCGGAGUUUAGGAUCGCAUUUACCACUCUUGCUCAAUCGAUCGCUACUCAUAAGGAUUGGCUAACAGCUGUCCGACCAACUUAGGCACAGCUAUAAUUUAGGACUUCACCCGAAUGAAUCCUACAACCUUCCUCGGGUCUAAGGUUGAUGAAGACCCUCAAAAUUCUUAGAUCAAGUUUAGAAAGUGGCAGACGCCAUGGGGGUGACUAUUGUUGAGAGUGCUGAGCUAGCUACAUAUUAGUUACAGGAUGUGGCUCAUGCUUGGUUCAAAUAGUGGAAGUCCAAAAGAUUAGAUGAUGCAGGUCCUAUAGAGCGGGAGAAGUUUGUCACUGCAUUCUUAGACAGGUUCUUUCCCCAAGAGCUUAGAGAAGCCAAGGUGCUAGAGUUCAUCAACCUCAGGUAGGGCAAUAUGACUGUGAAAGAGUAUUUUUUUAAGUUUACUCAAUUAUCUAGGUAUGCCCCUCACGUGGUUGCAAAUAGUAGAUCCAAGAUGAGUAAGUUCUCUUCAGGGGUAAACAAGAGCAUGGUUAAUAAGUGCAGAUCCACCUUGCUGAACAGUGACAUGAACUUAGCUAGACUUAUGACCUAUGCUCAGCAAAUAGAAGAGCAGAAAAUUAAGCAGAGGGAAAAGCAGAACAGGAGAGCAAAGACAGGUAGUUUCAACUUUGCUCAGCCUAAAUCAGAAAGAGAAAACCAUUUCCAGUUUCAUCAUAAGUCAUCAGUUCUAGCUCCCUCUACAGCCAGUGCUCUAGUUCCUAAGUUCAAAGAUGGUAACAAAGUUAGAGCACCAGGCUCUAAAACACAUGGCAGUGUUAGUAGUACCCGCACCUGUCCUCUUUGCCAGACUUGCGGUAAGCACCAUCAGGGUAUUUGUAGGCCACAGAGUUAGAGACUUUCCUUAGCCAGGUCCUCAGGGUCAAUAGAAUCGCUCUUCAGCUCAGUCAGGUCACCCAAAUCAGUAGGUUUCCACUUCCAGUGCUACUAGCGGACAACGCCCAAAUCUUCUCUAUGUUCUUCAAACUCGAUAAGAUUAGGAAAGUUCUUCUGAUGUACUUACUGGUACGUUAUAGAUCUUUCAUGUGCAUGUUUACGCUUUGCUAGAUCCAAGAGCUUCCUUGUAUUUUGUUACUCCUUAUAUAGUAGUUGAUUUCAGAACCAGUCUCGAAAUUCUAGCAGAGCCCUUCUCAUUUUCUACCCCAGUGGGUAAAACCAUCAUAGCCCGGCAGGUAUAUAGGAACUAGCCGGUUAUGAUAUUUUAAAAAGUCACUUCAGCAGACUUAGUCGAAUUAGAGAUGACUGAUUUUGAUGUCAUUCUUGACAUGGAUUAGCUUCAUUCCUGCUAUGCCAUAGUCUACUGUAGAAAUAGAAUAGUCCAGUUUUAAUUCCCAAAUGAACCCAUCCUAGAGUGGAAGGGUAGCGUAUCCGCUUUCAGAGGUCAGCUUGUUUCCUACCUUCGGGUAAGGAAAAUGAUAUCUAAGGUAUGUGUUUAUCAUCUAUUUCAUGUUAGAGAUUCUAGUUUUGAGGCUCCCAGUCUCGAAUCAGUCCUAGUAGUGAAUGAAUAUUUAGAUAUCUUUCCCGAAGAUCUCCCAGGAAUUCCUCCUGAAAGGAAAAUAGACUUUGAUAUUGAUCUUCUUUAAGACACUCAUCCAAUCUCUAUUCCUCCAUACAUAAUGACACCAACAGAACUCAAGGAACUGAAAGAACAGUUGAAGGAUCGCUUAGAUAAGAGAUUCAUCAGACCUAGUAUUUCCCCGUGGGGCGUACCAGUCUUAUUCACGUGCAAUAAAGAUGGUUCACUCAGAAUGUGUAUAGAUUACCGAUAACUCAAUAAAGUCAUGGUCAAGAAUAAGUAUCCUCUUUCCAGAAUCGAUGACUUAUUUGACCAACUUUAGGAUGCCAGUUAUUUCUCUAAGAUAGACCUCAGAUCCGGCCAUCAUCAGCUCAGAGUUAGAGAAUGUGACAUCCUAAUACAACUUUUUGUAUGCGGUAUGGUCACUUUAAAUUUCUAAUCAUGUCAUUUGGUCUUACAAACACCCCAGCUGCUUUCAUGGACUUGAUGAACUGUGUGAUCAAGCAGUACUUGGACAUGUUCAUCAUAGUCUUCAUAGAUGAUAUGCAUUGAGCGCGAUCGUGCAGACCAUCUCAGAAUAGUACUCCAGACUCUCAGAAAUCAUCAGUUAUUCGCCAAAUUUAGUAAGUGCGAAUUUUGGCUAAGAUCAGUAGCAUUCCUUGGCCAUAUUAUUUCCGAUGAUGGCGUUAGAGUAGAUCCUCAAAAGACCAAAGCAGUAAGAAACUGGCCUCGCCCUAUUUCUCCAUCAGAUAUCAGGAGUUUCUUGGGUUUGACAGGCUAUUACAGAUGGUUUGUUAAAGGAUUUUCAUUCAUUGCAUCCCCUAUGUCCAGAUUGACUCAGAAGAAAGUCAAGUUCCAGUGGUCAGAUCCUUGUGAGAAGAGUUUUCAAGAAUUGAAGACUCGACUCACCUCAGCUCCAGUCUUAGCUCUUCCAAAUGGUUCAGGCGGUUUUGUAGUUUAUUGUGAUGCAUCUAUAGUGGGUUUGGGUUGUGUCCUCAUACAACAUGGUAAGGUCAUAGCCUACGCCUCCAGACAGCUUAAACCCCAUGAGAAGAAUUAUCCUACUCAUGAUCUUGAAUUAGCAGUCGUAGUAUUUGCCUUAAAGAUUUAGAGGCAUUAUCUCUAUGGAUUUCAUAUAGACGUCUUCACAGAUCAUGAGAGCCUUCACUAUGUCUUUUCUUAAAAAAAUCUCAAUCUUCGUUAGAGAAGGUGGUUAGAGCUCUUAAAAGAUUAUGACAUGAGUGUCCUCUAUCAUUCGAGCAAGGCCAACAUAGUGGCCGAUGCUCUCGGUAGACUGUCCAUGAGUAGUAUUUCUCAUGUUGAUGAUAGUAAGAAGAAGUUAGUCCAGGAAGUCCACCAGCUUGCCAGAUUAGGCAUUCUCUUGGUCAACUCUUCAGAGGGCGGUGUAUGUGUUCAGAGUAGUUCAGAAUUAUCUCUAGUUUCUGAGGUAAAAGAAAAGCAAGAUAAGGAUCCUAGCCUUGUCAAGCUAAAAGAGUCAGUUCAGAAUCAGAAAAUAGAGGUUUUCUCCCAAGGGGGAGAUGGUGUUCUUCGUUGUCAGGGUCGUCUUUGUGUUCCAGACAUAGAUGAAUUAAGGCAGCAAAUUCUUGCAGAAACGCAUGGUGCACGUUACUCUAUUCAUCCAAGGGCCACUAAGAUAUACCGCGACUUGUAGGAGAUCUAUUGUGGAGCGGGAUAAAAACUAUGUUGCAAAAUUUAUGGCUAAGUGCUCUACAUAUCAGCAGGUUAAGAUAGAGCAUCAGAGCCUAGUGGGUCCAUGCAGGAGUUCAGUAUUCAUACUUAGAAGCGGGAAGUUGUAAACAUGGACUUCGUGAUGGGUUUGCCUCGAACUCGUUGUCAGCAUGAUUUAGUCUGGGUCAUUAUAGAUAGAAUGACCAAAUCAACUCUUUUCCUUCCAGUUCAUACCUCUUAUUCAGCCGAGGAUUAUGCCAAGCUCUACAUCAAGGAGCUGGUCAAAUUGUACGGUGUUCCAUUAUCAAUUAUCUCAGAUAGAGGUACCCAGUUCACCUCUCAUUUUUGGAAAGCAUUCCAAAAGGGUCUUGGUACCCAAGUUCAUCUCAGUACAACCUUUCAUCCUUAGACAGAUGUUCAAGUAAAAAGGACCAUUCAGACGUUAGAAGAUAUGCUAAGGGAGUGUGCAAUUGAUUUUAAGGGAAGUUGGGAUGACCAAUUGCAUUUGAUUGAGUUUUCAUACAACAACUAUCAUUCCAGUAUUCAGAUGGCUCCAUCUGAAGCUCUUUAUAGUAGGAGAUGUAGAUCUUCAAUUGGUUGGUUCGAAGUUAGUGAGGCCUCAGUCAUAUGGCCUGACUUAGUAUUCGACGCCUUAGAGAAAGUUCAGUUAAUUAGAGAAAGACUCUGGGAUGCUCAAAGCCGACAGAAGUCUUAUGCAGAUAUUCAUAAAAAGGAUAUUAAGUUUGAGAUUGGUGAUCAUGACUACCUCAAGAUCUCUCCCAUGAAGGGAGUGAAGAUAUUCAGCAAGAAGGGAAAACUCAGUCCCCGAUAUAUCGGUCCUUUCAAGAUUCUUAGUCAAUUCGGCAAAGUAGAUUAUGAGCUUGAAUUGCCUUCAAAUCUAGCCUUAGUUCGUCCAGUCUUCCAUGUCUCUUUGAUCAAGAAGUGUAUAGGUGACCCAUCAGUCGUAGUCCCUAUUCAGAGCAUAGAUGUUCAGAACAGCCUCUCUUAUGAAGAGAUUCCAAUUGAAAUCUUAGACUAUCAGACUCGUAGAUUGAGGAACAAAAAGUCCCUCUAGUUAAAGUUCUUUGGCGAAAUCAGUCCGUCGAGGGAGAUACUUGGGAAACAUAAGCAAAUAUGUGUACCUAGUAUCCUCACCUCUUCCCCGCCAACUCAGAUCAAGCUCAAGGUAACAGUUCUCCUUAAGCUUACUUAGUUUCAAGAUUAGUGUACAUCACUAACUUAGUUUUAGUCUCAUGGUCAUGUUCCCAUGAUAAGCUUAGUAUCAAGUACCAUCGCAUAUUCAGUCAUGCAUUUAUGUAUCAGAUCAGUUAUAUUAGUUAUGCAUCAGACACGCAUUCUCAUUGUGAGAAAAUUUAGUUCUUCAGAACUUUCAGUUAUGCAUUUAUGAAUCAGUUACGCAUGCAUCAGAUAUGCAUGUUCAGUAUGUUAUGUUCAUCUUGUUAGUCACGUCCAUCAUGAGAUCAUGUUCUAGUUAUUCAUGUUCAGCUCAUUAUUUCCCUCCUCAGUCAGUCUCAUUCGAGGAUGAAUAUUCUCAAGGGGGAGAUGUUAUAAUACCCGUGCUUUUUCUUAGAUUAAAAAUCAUCUCAAGGAUGUUAGAACUUUCUUUGAAAUAAUAAUUCAUUCUUAUACAUGUGGUACUUCCAUAAUUUUCACUUUCUAUCACAUGAGAAAUUGAAUAAGAUUUCCAUCGUUAUAUAAUUGGCCCAAAUCCGACACCCGACCGAAGAGUUAGAGCCUUUUUAGUGAGACAGUGUUUGACCUGAGCCUUCAAUGCAUCGCGGAGAUAGCUCAAAUGACAAUUGUCAAAUUCCAGUGUUGCUCCGCGAUACUGGCGCAUCGUGCCAAACUUUCAGGUCGUAGACAAGGUGGCAACGCGAUAGCUCUGCAUCGCGCCACCGUGUAGUUUUCCAUUUAUCAAUUUCUAGUGACACGGUGCUAUAACGCUGCAUCACGCCAAGGGCCUAAUUUGAAAAAUUUUUCUAAAAAUCAAAUUACGUGUCCAGGGUUAAAAUGGUCAAUCCCCCCCCCCCCAUUUAAGCUUCCAAACACGGGAUUUAGCCCUUAUUCAUCCAAAAUAUUGAUGUUUUUCUCAAAUACUCUCAAGAACUCAAGCUAGGGUUUUCAUAUAUGGUCCAAUUUCAAGAAGGUUUCAUCCUCAAUCUUCACAAAAUCACUAUCUAAGGUAUGUAUAGUGUUCAUUCAUGGACUCCUUUCGUCCAUGAAGUCCAAGAAUCCUUUUUAACUACAAGUUAUGGAUUUUCUCAUGUUUUCAUGCUUUGUAUGUUCUCUUUCAUUUUGAUAAAUGAGGAAUUGAUUUCUAUUCCAUGAUUUGAUGAUAAAUUCCAUGUGGGUUGAUUAGUAUAGAUAAAUAUUUAUGAAAUCUCAUAACUAAAACCUUGUAUGAUGAAAUUGGAAUUGAACCAUGAUGUUUAGUUGCUAUACCAUGAUGUUUACAUGUACUAUGCCUGCCAUAUGUUUGAUAAAAUGCCUAGAUAAAGGAAAUUUGCCUAACUAGCAUGAUAUCAUGAAAAUCCCCAUAAAUGUACAAGCUUAUGCCUAUUAGACGUUAGAUGAAAUGCUUCAAUAAACAAAUUGUGGUUAUUAUCAUGUAUUCAAGACUACCAAGUCAUGUCAGUUUCCUUCUAUCGAGUCCUGGGGGUACUUGUACCCAAAAUAUUAGUGAUGUGCCUAGAGCCAUGUCAUGUUUUUCACGAUACUCUCAGUCAAGCUAUAAACUCAUAGACUUCAGAUAGUAUUAUGACUCAGGAAAAAUCUCCAUGAUCUCAUGACUCAGUCAGUUGUCAGAUAUCAGUAGUAUUUUAUCAGCCACGAAAAUUCAGUAACUCAGUCCAUCCUCAGUUCAGUUCAGUAAAUCAUGUUCAGUGUUCAUUCAGAUGGGAGUAGAAAUUAGCACCGAGUGAACCCAAGGAUGGAGAUUCACCUGUUAUACGAGGGUGUGAUUCCAAGAAGCAGUCCUUGCAUUCCAAAACUAUGUAGCCAACAUAGGUUGAGACAUCUUAUCCUUCUAUAUGAGGGUAGAUGAGGUGGCUUAACUUGUUAUGUGAGGGUUCCCACUAUUCUCACUAGAUUUACCUGUUAUAUGAGGGCUACUCACAUGUUGUCCUUACCAGUGGCGUGGUAUUAACACCCUUCCAAUCAGGGCAUAGAUUGGACCCCAGCUUAGCUAUUAUAGUACUUUUGGGGCAUUUCAGUUAGAUACUACUUCCCACAGUUUCAUGUUAUAGAUUCAGGACUGUCAGAUACAGUCAACUCAGAUACAAUACGGAACUCAGAUAGUUCCAUCAGAUUUAGGACUGUCUUCUACAGUCACCCAUGUUAUCAGUAUUAUUCAGAUAUAGUCCUUCAUGUUAUCAGUCAUAUUAGUUACUAGCAUGUCACAUUAUCAGUAUACAGACUCAGAAAUCACCAAAUCACAUUGUCAGUUACAGUUACGUAUUUAUACAUGUAUUCUCACGUUCUUGUUAGACAGUCAGUUAGCAUUAUUUAUGCAUGUGAACCAUCGCAUAUAGCCUACCUCACAUGUAUACUCAGUACAUUCCAUUAGAGGUGUACAAAUCAAAUCGUCAAGUCAAACCGAAUCGAUGAACUAAACCAAAUCGAGAAAAAAAAUCCGACUUAUGGUUUGGUUUGAUUGGUUUGGCGUUAGAAAAAAAACCAACCAUUCUUGGUUUGGUUUGGUGUUAACCAAAAAAAAUUCAAACCGNNNNNNNNNNNNNNNNNNNNNNNNNNNNNNNNNNNNNNNNNNNNNNNNNNNNNNNNNNNNNNNNNNNNNNNNNNNNNNNNNNNNNNNNNNNNNNNNNNNNNNNNNNNNNNNNNNNNNNNNNNNNNNNNNNNNNNNNNNNNNNNNNNNNNNNNNNNNNNNNNNNNNNNNNNNNNNNNNNNNNNNNNNNNNNNNNNNNNNNNNNNNNNNNNNNNNNNNNNNNNNNNNNNNNNNNNNNNNNNNNNNNNNNNNNNNNNNNNNNNNNNNNNNNNNNNNNNNNNNNNNNNNNNNNNNNNNNNNNNNNNNNNNNNNNNNNNNNNNNNNNNNNNNNNNNNNNNNNNNNNNNNNNNNNNNNNNNNNNNNNNNNNNNNNNNNNNNNNNNNNNNNNNNNNNNNNNNNNNNNNNNNNNNNNNNNNNNNNNNNNNNNNNNNNNNNNNNNNNNNNNNNNNNNNNNNNNNNNNNNNNNNNNNNNNNNNNNNNNNNNNNNNNNNNNNNNNNNNNNNNNNNNNNNNNNNNNNNNNNNNNNNNNNNNNNNNNNNNNNNNNNNNNNNNNNNNNNNNNNNNNNNNNNNNNNNNNNNNNNNNNNNNNNNNNNNNNNNNNNNNNNNNNNNNNNNNNNNNNNNNNNNNNNNNNNNNNNNNNNNNNNNNNNNNNNNNNNNNNNNNNNNNNNNNNNNNNNNNNNNNNNNNNNNNNNNNNNNNNNNNNNNNNNNNNNNNNNNNNNNNNNNNNNNNNNNNNNNNNNNNNNNNNNNNNNNNNNNNNNNNNNNNNNNNNNNNNNNNNNNNNNNNNNNNNNNNNNNNNNNNNNNNNNNNNNNNNNNNNNNNNNNNNNNNNNNNNNNNNNNNNNNNNNNNNNNNNNNNNNNNNNNNNNNNNNNNNNNNNNNNNNNNNNNNNNNNNNNNNNNNNNNNNNNNNNNNNNNNNNNNNNNNNNNNNNNNNNNNNNNNNNNNNNNNNNNNNNNNNNNNNNNNNNNNNNNNNNNNNNNNNNNNNNNNNNNNNNNNNNNNNNNNNNNNNNNNNNNNNNNNNNNNNNNNNNNNNNNNNNNNNNNNNNNNNNNNNNNNNNNNNNNNNNNNNNNNNNNNNNNNNNNNAUUUUCUUUAACAUAAAUAACAAUUAAUAUGUCUCACUUACAAAUAAUAUGGAUUUCUAUAGUGGUUGAAUUGUACAUAAAAGUUGCGAUAUUACAAAAAACAUGACUCAUAAAUAAAAAAGAAUUUAACCUCCUAUCCUAAUUCGUGACCUUGAUAUGUUUUAUUUUAAAAAAGAAAAAUGGGAUUGGAGCCUUUUUAUGCCAUGAUAAUCAAAAUUAUGUCACGAUUAUGCAAAGAAAGUAAAAGAAAAAAAGAGCAAUAAACCUUUAAUUUUUGACAACUUCAUUCGGCGGCAACAUACUUAUCCAAUUUUCGAUCAAAAACUUUCAACUAAAAGAGAAACAAAAGAAAUUAUCAAAAUAGAGAAUCAAUGUCAAUUGUUGAUUAUUAUUCUUCAUAUAUAAUCUUUAAAGGUAUGAUUUAAUAGAAAUAAAUAAAGGCAAAAGGAUGAUGAUAAUGAUAGUAAGAAAAUACGUGAAUCAAAACUAAAAUAAAAAGCAAAAGUACAAUAUAAGAAUUUGUUUCGUAUAAAUUUUGAUCCAAAAUAUUACUUAAAUAGAAUUAUAAAGAAUAUUUUUUUAUAUGAGGCAAAAUUCUAUUUUUAGAAGUACUAAAUAUUACCUAGAUUAAAUUAUCAAAACCAACAAAUAUAUGUUAUUAAAUCCUAAAACUCAUGCGUAGAACAAUAAAUUAAAUUUAUUCUAUUUAUAAAAAUUUUCUUUUGUAAAUCAUAUAAUUAAAUAUAAAUUUUUUCGCCUCGUUUUUUUUACGUGCACAAAGAUUUCUUCCUUUUUUAACUUUGACUUGUCCUACAAUUUUAUUCAUAAUAUUCUACUUAUUCUUCUUUAUAACCUUAAAUUAUGAAGUACUAGAAGUUUUUAGUUUAUCAGGAUUCUUUCUAUAUAUUUUAGGAGUUAUUAAAUUAUUUUCAUAUAUUUUAGGAGUCUUUAAUCUAAUUACAUAAUAAAUUGAGGAAAAUAGUAAAAUGACAUUUUUAUCUAUUGCAGAGGCUUCUAAUGAAGGGAAAAAAGUUCAAAUGUCAUUUUUAAGGCCUUCACACUUUUAAUAUAGUAUAGAUAUAAUAUUCGAAUUUUUUUAUACAUAAAAUAUUAAUUAUAAUCUACUUUUUAAAUACUUUUUCAACUAGUUUUAGUAAUUUUCAAUAAUUCGAAAGUAGAUGUAGAUAUAUAUUUAAGAUAUAUAUUUAAAUUUGGGCCUUUAAGUUGUAAUAUUUGUCCAUUAAUUGCUAAUUAAAUGAUCCAAAACCCAAUAUAAACUUAAAACCUAAACUUUUCACUCUUCAUCUCACUUUUUAGUUUCAAGAGAGUUUUCCGCUCCUCAUUUUUCAUAAUUAUGGUUUUUCAUUAGCACAUGAGUGGAAAUAUAUUUGAUCUAGUCUUCGAUCACAAUAUAAUAGUAAAAACUAAAUAUUAUUAAAACCCCCCGGAAAAAAAUCAAAAAAACCGACUAAAACCUAAACCGAAAAAAUUAAUUUUAUGUUGGUUUGAUUUGGUUUAUAGUUUUAAUAAAUCGACAUGAUUGUUUUUUUUUUUUAAAUAAAAAUUGAACCAACCCGACCUAUGUACACCCCUACAUUUCAUUGUACUGACGCAUUUGCUCUAUGAUGCUUUCUUUUUAUGUUACACCAUAGGUUCAGAGACACGAGUUCCAGAUCAGCAGUAGAUUCCAGUUUUAGCAGUCAGAGUAGAAGUGAGUCCUCAUCCUUUGAGGACAUAAUGAUUUUCUAUUAUCUCAUUGAUUAGCUUAUUAGUUGGAGUUAGUUAGGGACAUGUCCCAUCAAAUCCUUAUUCAGAUUCUUCAGACAGUAGAGGCUUUCAGACUAGAUGUAGACUAGAUACAGACUAUCAUGUUUUAGACUUCAGUUUUGUUUUGGGUAUUCUAUUACCCUACACAGAUGUUACGUUAUUCAGUUAUGUUCAUGAUCGAACCUUAUGGCCUUUCAGUGCAUAGUUCUGCAUUAUUAUGUUAUCUUAUGCAGUAUACAAGUACAAAUAUCAGUCAUGGGUUAGCUUGUAGUCCUUUGGGGUCAUGAGCACCGUGUAGCAUUCCGAUUCAGCAAAUUGGAUCAUUACAGAUACCACUUGUUAGGUUUGAAAUAGAGAGAGUGUCAUGUGGAAGCUUUAAAGUUACAUACCAAGGCAGUGAUAAUUCAGACAAUAAAGAAAAAUAUAUUAAAAUAUAAUAUUAUUGAUAUGGUUUGGCCAAUUGUCCUACAGAUUAAAAAUUAAAUCAAAAAGCAUAAAAAUUAUUUGAGAGAAAAUCUCCCCCUAAACAAAACUCCUAAACGCCUACACUGUGGAUUCUAUUGUGUUGUGGUAUGAGAUGGGGCUAUUCUAUUUAUAGAGGUAAAAAAACCUUUCCUCCGAAAAAGAGGUUUACCAAAUAUGGAAAAGAAUUAUAUUUUCCUUUUAGGAAAAGUAAGAAUAUGGUAUUACUUUUAUUUUCUUUUCAAUAUUUUGCUAGAAAAUCAAGCCAAAAAGGGGAGAUUUGUUAGGAUUUUUGCCUGAUUUUCUUACCAAAAUUAAGUUUUACUUUUUCUUGGAAGGAAAAUAAAAGUAACCAUAAUUACUUUUACUUUUCCUAAAAGAAAAAUAUAAAACUUUUUCAUAUUUGGAUAACCUCUUUCUUGGAGGAAAGAUUUUGAAACUCUAUAAAUAUAAGACCCCCCUUCUCAUACAAGAACAUAAUAGCAUCCACAAUGUAGUCGUUUAUGAGUCUUGUUUAGAAGGAAGAUUUUCUCUCAACAGUUUUUAUGUUUUUAUAUCAGUUUUCAAUAUGUAAGUCGUUCGACCAAAUUAUAUCAAUAAUAUGUCUUUUUAGUAUUAUUUUAUGUGUCGUCUAAAUUAUCAUCUCUAUGGUUUGCAAACUCUAACUUUUUGCAUGACGCCCUCUCAAUUUUGAACCCAACAGGUUGAUUGCUUUGAGGAGUUAGACAUGUAAAAGUGAAAAGAAAAUCAUAGUAACUGUCUAUCUACCGUUUUAAAGAAAUCAUACAAUGCCACAUUUAAGUCUUUAGCAAAAUAAAAGUAUACAACUAACUAUGAUUAAAAAAUCAUAAAGAUACUAGUUAUAAAUAUUUUCACAUAAUUGAUCAAACGUGAAUAAACAACGAAGCCCUUUUGAUUUUGAUCUCUCCUAAAUCAUUAUUAUCUAAACUUGAGUCAAUAGAGAUAGAUUUAGGACAUUUAAAGAGACACGUCAAAACAAAAUCAGAUUUGAAUCAGAAAGAAAAAUGACCAUGAACUCCAUCUCCAAUCUUUCAUUUUAACUUCCUGGAACCUAUAUGUUUUAGACUAAGUUUUGAUUCAAAAAAAAAGGUGAAUAAAUAAACAUGCUUGGUCAUUUAGGCAUCAAAAUAGCUGCAGUCAACCACAAUUAGAAAUUAGACUUAAUCAAUUUUAGACUUAAUCAAUUUCUUUAUCUUGUUCAAAUGGUUACGCGAAGCAACCUGAAUAAGAAAGCACAAAAACUGCAUUUUUUGGUUAACCUUUUACAUUGUAUAUUAUUUUGACAAUUAUUUGAAGCCAUAACCACAUACAUUCCAUAUUUACACAAAAAAACCACGUAUAAUAAUAAUAUGAGAUGAAAUGAGUAAAGACAAAGCAAGACAAGAACACGAUGUGAUUAACAUAUAAUCCUGAUACUAAGAUAACUCACAUAUACAAAAAUCAGGCCAAGUAAAAGAAGGGAGAUACAGGUGAAACAAGAAAAUAAAUUUUACAUGUUUUCACAUAUUUUGCUCAUGAAACUGCGACAUAUAUAACAAACAAGACAUUGAUGGUGUGGGACAAGAUGAUUUCAAGUACUCUUCUUAGAACCAAAGAAACGACAACCACAAAAGAGCACAAAGAGUGCUUACUAGAAAGUAGGAUAUAGCAAAGAAGACAUAUUUUUUAUGUUUCAUAGACUUGCAUUUUGAUAAUAAAUAAGCAGGGAAUUAGCCAUACAUAUUGAACCAAUAUAUACUUCAAGAGAAACCACAUCCACGAACUUGAUUCGGAGACAAUAAACAAAACCAUGAUAGCUGAUUUGAAGUCAAAAUAGAUCAUCUAUUUACUUGCUAAUUUGUAUGUUCACCCAUGAAAUAAAUUCACAAAAUCAGAAUUUUCAUUUUUUAUCCGCAAAGGCAACAAAAUACAACAACAACAAAUUUGAUAAUAGAACAAAUCACAUACUCAUAAAUCAAAGCGGAUAAAUGAAGAACCAAACAAAUGAAAGCCUAAAUUUAAAGGGUAGACUCACUUUUUUUGGAGUAGCGAAUCGGGGCUUUUUCGUUAAAAUUUUGAUGAUGGACUCGACCCCAAAACUCCGAAUUGCGACCAAGAAUUAAAAAGAGAAUUUUGAUUUUGAAGCCCCUUUUCUGGUUUUCACAUUUUUCUCCUUUUUACUAUUUUCUGGCCUCUCUUCUCCCCUUUGAGACCCUUUUCCCUCCGCCUUCACGGGGAUGGGAAUUUGGAUACUUAUAGAUAAAAUUCAAACUUCAAAAUCUAGAUUUGAGAUAAGAAAUCAGCAAAAAUAUGGGAGACUAAGGAAAUUUGAAAUUCAAAUUCAAAUUUCUGAAGAAAAUCCACCGAUUUUAGCCUUUUAGGCCACUUAUGGCAGAUUUGACAUCAAGGGUGAGUUGUACAUUAUUUUAGGUCUGAUAUUUCUGAUUUUAAAGGGUUUUAUGGGUUUGGAAUGAAAAGAUAGGGGCAGUACACAUAGGGUGACUACCAUGGUAUAGUUAUGGCCGUCUAUGGCAGCUAUUUUUGUGAUGUAGAACAGAAAAAAAAGAAGAGAGAAGAAGGUCUUGUUCGGGUUAUUAUUUUGAGAAAGAAAAGAAAAGAUGGGUCAGUGUAUG